rnacentral:lncRNA from 1 species
UUCUUCUCGGCAAUUAACAAGUUAUGUAUUACUGACUGUCCCUAGAGCAAGUGGCAAAGGACUUGAUGGUUGGUACCCGAGGUCCUAAGUUUGAAUCCUAGUUGAUUCAUAUUUCCAGCUAAGUUUAUUUCUUAAUGAAAUAAACGAACCAGGCAGCGUACUACCUAUUUUUUUUUUUUUUUAAGUUAUGUAUUAGCUAAUGAACUAGGUCUUUUAAAAUAUUAUAUAAAGGCUUAAUUCUAUGUAAUUCCUACAAAUUUUAUGUCUAUAAAUAUCAUUGAAAUAAUGUUGACUUUACAACCGCUUGAGUGAUAAAUUAAAAAUGUUAAAAUAUUACAAACUUUAAUUUUUAAAAUGUUUAUGAAACAUAAAUUAUAUUAAUGGUAUUGAUCGUUGAUUCGGACGCCACCUCGUCAUUAGAUAUGCUGAGGAAAUGCCAAGAGAUCUGUGCUUUUAGAAGUUCUUGCUUAAGUUUAUUCUUAAUUGAGUUAGAAUACUUCUAGAAGUACUGAUGCCUUGAUACUUCUCAUUUUUCGAUAAUGGCUUAUCCGAAUCGACGAUCGACAGUAGUAUAUAGGACUUUAGUAAAUAUGCAAGGUUGCAUUGUGGUAUAGUUGAUCAGCACGUCUGUAGAGUGAUGGGUAGAGUGGGAGCUUUUUAGGCACGAAAACGAAAUGAAAGCGGAAACAGAAUCGGGAAGCUGAAUACUGCUGGAAUUGAAGUUUCAAGGUCUUUAAUUUGGACUCCCAAAAGCGAAUUAGGGGCCCAAAAGUGGUGUUCAGGCGCUGAUCUUGAUUCGGAUCGCAAAAACGGCACCCGAUGCCUACUAUAGCAACUUGGAAGUAGGUUAGUGGUGAUUUGACUGUAGUAGUGGAAACAUGAUCAAGUGACUAAGCAGGGGAUUUGGAUAUCAAGGUCUGGGCACCCGAAUGUUACNCCCCCCCCCCCUCUCCUUCCUUUAGGUCAUCUUUCUUCCUCUUCUUCCCUUCUUCCUCUAUUAUGCUGGAGCUGGAAUAGUGAGCUCCAUUGGAGGUGAGCAUGGAGUGGAGUCUCCUAUGCUGUGUGCUAUGGAGGACCUUGGACUAGUACGUGGCUAAGGAGGAGGACCUGUGGAACACUUUCUUCAACUGAAUUUUGGGUAGGCCACCACUGUUUUAUAAGAUAGUUUUGGAAGAUUAGAUUUUUGGAUUUUGUUGGAUUUCUUGAUCCCUUUCGAUUUAGCAGUAGGUUUUAUUGUGAGGAGGUCGAUCUUGAGCAUCAUUUUCUAUGCCCUUAAAAUAGCAUUUAUAGGUAGGUUAUGUUGUCAAAAAUGAUGAACUUCAUACUAUGUCUAUUAUGUAGAAUUUAGCAUCUCUGAUAACCUGUUGAUGUGAUAGUGGUAAUUUUUACACUUGUUAAAUAGAUUGUACUAUUAGCAUCCUUUUGAUUUCCCUCUAGGUGGAGAUGACAUUAUUGACAGAUUCUUUGACUUAUGCUUGGGUGCGUGGGCGGUGACAGUUUGUGAGGUAGUGCAGGAUGUAUAUGCCACCGGACAAGGUGGCGGUGUCGGAUAGUAUUUGAUUGUGCUAGCUAGAUGUCACCUGGCUAGUAUUAUUAUGAUCUGGUUGAUCAUCGCAUAUGACCAUAGCCUAUAGGAGUCAUAUUGAGGUUAACAGAGAUAUUAUUAUACUUGAGUGGGCGUGACAGAGAUAUUAUUAUACUCAAAUAGAUCGCGCCCCUCGAGUGCCCCUCCGAAGGUUGAAGAAUUACAUGGAUAAUAGGUUGCCUAUGUGUUGAUGGACCGCCAGGUCAGUGUUGAUGCUGGGCGUGAGGUAGGCACAGCCUUGGUCAGACCAGACGAGUCGGUUGGUAUGAUUAGGUUGUACAGCUUUGCUUUAUUUGAUAUCUAGUUGAUGUAUAUGACCCAUGAUUUGCCAUUUUUACUAGUAGUAUAGAAGCAUGGUAGUAAUAGUUUAUUUCUAGCAUUUAUUUCCUGCUUUUAAACAGUUCACUUUACUAUCUUUGCCUCUAAUAGACCUAGUGGUAUAGAUUGUCAUUGUCGUCAACCGUACCAUUGGAGACUACGGUUUAGUACUAGUCACGUCUUCUCUUUGUUGUUGUUUUUUUUUUAAUUUCAGAGCACUCAUACCAUCUCUUACCAUGAAUCUGACCUAGAGGAGGACGUUGUUAGAAAAUUGCGUAUGGUAAAAACGCAGCGGAAAAAGAAAUCAAACAAAUUUGAUUUUUGAAAACUCUCGAGAUUCAAUCUCAAAAACUACGCAAUUAGGAUCCCUCAUGUUUUAAGAUUAAAAAAAAAAAAACAAGAUCGAAUCUUUACCUUAUUCACGAAUAAAUCUUCACCUCAAUCUGAUAAUCUUGGAAUUUGGUUCUCUUGAAGCCGCACACGCGUCCGGCCUCUAUAGGUAUCCACACGAGGUUCUUGAUUUGAUCGAUGUCCUCACCGGGGUGCUAGCUCCCUUGCAAAAGGACGUCUUUCUUGCUAGAAGAUGGAAGAGAGGAUAGAUGACGGCUAGGGUUUUCUAAAAACUCCCGUAUAUUAUAUAUAGGAAUAUAAUCCUAUUCCUAAUAAUAUAAUGACAAUUAAGGAUAAGUAUAAAUCUAGAUUUAAAUUUAUCUUUUCCUUAAUUGGUUAGAUCGAUCAAAUCCUAAUUUGAUUCGACUUGAAUUUUAUAUUAAUUUGAUCUUAUCAAAUUAAUAAUGCAACAUUUGCACAUAAGUCCUCUUAUAAUUUACUAACUAUUAGUAAGUCCUCUCUUGUAACAUUUACACUUUAAUACCACUAAUUUGUAACAAUUACAAAUUAGUCCAAUUAUCAACAUAUUGACAAUUAGGUCCUCCGGCGAUUCAAUAAUCGCGAUCUAGCUAUCCGAUCAAUCACAACCUCUUAUGUGUGUGACCCCAUAGGUUCUAUUCUAUCUGGUAGUGAGAUAUAUUUUGAUCACUAUCAACAAUAUCACUGAAACUCCUUUCAGUGGAUCGGAACAAUUCCAACUCAGCCCAAUGAGAAUUAUCGAUCAUCUAGAUAAUUCUCAUGAGUCUCACAAUCCACCAGUGACGCCUAGCAGCAUGUAGUGGCAUUCCAGUAGAAUGGAAUACUGAACCUCUUGGUGCAGUUACCGUGUGAUACAAUCCUUCUAUCAUGAGUCCCGACUAGACGGAGGUUAUGGAAUAACUCGUCAAACCCCAUCGUCUGUCAUAUGUUAAAUUUAUUCGACUCGAGUUUCUAAUAUCGGAAACCCUUUUCCGCUAUUUAUUCUGCCCUGGCCAAGGUCUUCUAAACUCGGUCUCAUAAAUCACAUAGGACUAACACCCCUAUCUACCAAGGGAGAUAGAUUCCAUCUAAGUGCGCACCCUAUUUCUACAAUGAACUUACUGCAGCCAACAUGCACCGCAAGGACCCGAAUGGCUAGGGACCAAGUGUAUGUACAGUCAAACUACAGUAACCUCAUUGUGAAUAGCCGAGGCACCGCAGGUCAAAGGACCAGUCACACUACUGCAACAAUUGAGUAAGUCACUGACGAGUGAGUAGACAUCCAAGUGACUUCUCGCGUUGGUCACGCUCGGUACCCUUGUUCUCUAACAACCACCUGCAUAUUCGCUUCAGUGUCCUCACACUGUCAACUUGAGACUCGUCUACCCAGAAAGGGAAGCGACCUAUGCACAAAUCUCACCGGAUCAAUCACCGUCCUUGUGAUGAUCCAUUGAUCGGGAGCAUUUAGAAAUUAACCACCAAUAACACAUGUCUCAAAUUCUCAACACUUGAGAAUAUAUGUCAUCAUCUUAUUAAUUCCUUGGACGAUUCAUGAACACAUAUACAACAUGAAUGGAAAUAAAAAUCCAAAGUUAUUCAUAAUAUUUAAAAGUCAAAUACAAAUUUAUGUCCUAAAAAGAAUAUAUGUGUCGGCCUGGUUGGCUUCUAGGGCAUACAUCUAACAGACGCAUGCUUUAGUUUUGGAUAGCACACUAUAGAUUUGAACUGGCUAGGCCAGUAGAGUAUUGUAUACGAUUUUGGUUAUUUUGGAGCUGUAUGAUGGUGGAUGAUGUAUAGUGUUUUGUAUUUCUACAAAUUUUUAUAGACUCUGAUACUUGUUAAUUAUGGACUUCUAGGACUUGUUUAUUCUAUAGGUUGUUCUGACACUUUAUGUGUGAGGGUGUAUUCCUUUGCAUACAGUGGGACUAUUGGAGUACCUUCCGCUAUAACCGGGGCAUGACAGUUAAACAUCAUCUAUGUCUCAUAAACUUUCUAGGAAUUGAAUUUCAUGAUUUCUCAACAUUACUUACGAUGCAAUGGUCUAAAAUACACCUUAUAUAAGUCAUUGAAAUUUGUUGAUUUUGAAACUACUUGAAUAAUAGGUAAAUAAUGUUGAAGAAUUAUAAAAUUUGGUUAACUAAAUUUCUGCCUCAAACUUCCUAAAUUGUUAUAAUCAAGUCCCAUAGUCCGCUUUAGUUAAUUAACUUGAUGAUGAUGUUUUAUUGACGUUGAAGUAAUGUGGCAUCUUAGUUGUCAUCAAGUUAUCAACCACAACAUCGCUAUGUCACUAUCAUAUCUGCGAUACAUGACCAUUUAACCAACUAAAUUUGGACCAUAAUGAUAUUUACUUUGGCUUCAGGUGUUCGAGCUCAACAAACUCAUUCAAGUAAUCAGUUAGAGUUAAAGAAAUAUAUAUAUAUAUAUAUAUAUAUAUAUAAAAUAAAAAUAUGCUGCGAUUAUUUAUAUAGAGAGUCACAUGAAAAUUAAGUUCUAUGUUUUCCUUGAACAUAAAACUCUAAUCUUUACUAUUUUUAUUAUUUUUUAAUAUUCGCCUGUAGGACUCUAACCCAACACUCCUUUAUCCAAGAAUUCAGAAGCACGAACCUCUUAUUCUUUGUGUCAGUAUGAAGUGUUGGAAAAUCUUUCUGAUUUUUUAUUAAAAUAUUCUUUAAAACAAUUCGAAAGUUUAAUUUUAGUUUUAGAAAAGAUACGAGGAAGAAAAUAAAUAAUAAUAAAUACUGUAAAGAAAAUGAUUGGAAAAGGCCUGUGGAUCGAGGCGUGCAUAGCACUAUUCUAGAAGCGAAAUUGCCCCUCCACGUGCGAAGCUUUCCGGCAAUUAUUUUCAGCGAUACAACGACCACGUUCCACCCCGUUAGCACGCUUUCAAGGUGGCGCAAUACGAACCCAACAAGCUUCAAAUUCAGCAAAGAAAACUUGGCGAAAAUUGACGGAAAAGAUUAAUGGCGAGAAAGACGAGGUAGAGGACGGGUUCAUAUUAAACUCAUGCAACUUCGUCUAAUAUAUAUAACCAAUGCAAGAAUCUUGCCUCAAGAUGUCAACGCGUCAACUUGCUCCAAUGCGUCAAGUUUAAGAUUAUACGGAUUAAGAUUAGGAUUAGGAUAAAGAUAAAAUUAAAAAAAUAAAAAUAAAAUAAAAUAAACCGGGUGUAUGAACCGCGCGUGCGCGCCGCCGCCCGCAUUUUCUCUCAUUUUCUCUCAAGCAACUAGUUUGAGAAUAAAAGAAUAUAUAUAUAUACCAACAACACCCUUUUAGUUUCUAAUGUGGGACUAAACCUCACACAUGAAAACUUUAGUUAGGCCCCCAAGCAAGGCCCAUUAAUUAUUGGGCUGCCCAAGAGGCCUAACAAGUUUUAAAUCAUAAAAAUCCAAUAAAAUUCAUGAAGCCCAACACAUUUUAAUAGGGAAAACUUCAAAAACCCUCUCUGUGGUUUAGUACUUUUUCAUCUUACUACCUUGUGGUUUGAAACGUAUCAUUUAACCCCAUGUGGUUAUUGUUUUCUCUUUUCCGUCGGACACCGUUAGUUUGUGCAGUGCACGUGCGGCAAAAAGAGACACAAAUAGAUCAAAAGGAGGGAAGGCGAGACACCCUUUGUAGGGUUUCAUCAUGUCGUUUCUCCGAUCAUCCUUCCAGCCGGCGAAGGACCGGCGAUCAUCCUUCCGGCCGGCGAAGGAGCACUAGCUCCGAUCAACCUUCCGGCCGGCGAAGGAGCACUAGCGGUGGUCAUUCUUCUGGCCUAAGUAAGUCCAUAACUCACCUUCCUCAUGUUAUGGCAAGAAUUUUUUGGCCUUUUUUUUUACCCGCAUUGUGAUUAUCUCGGGUUUUCUUCAAUUUUUUCUUUAUGUUUAGAUGGGUAAGCAACUUUGCCCUUAUUUAUGCUAAGGACUUUUUAUUAUUUAUCUAGAUUUUUGGAUCAUCUUUAUAUUUCUUUGUUAAGGCCUUAAUUUUUUAUAGCUAUAUGUGGUCCUAAGUAUUAUUCUAUUUAGAUCGCUUUUCACAUUACGCAUUAAUCUAAUUUCAUAUCUUUAUGUUGUCUAAUUCCAUCUUUUUACAGAUGGGAGAAGUGCGGUACAACUUAAAAAUUAUUUAUGGUGGUUUGCUUCAAAUUACACCCAAUAUAAAGUAUAUGGGUGGUUUAAUUAAGGAAUACGGGGAAUGUGAUGGUGAUUUUAUUAGUUUUUUUGAAUUGAAUGGUUUAGCUAGUGAUCUUGAUCAGGCUAGAAGGCGCGACAUUAUUACUUACAGCCUAACUCAAAUCGUAUUCUAAAGAAGAUUAGCAAUGAUCAGGAUGUAGCUCAAAUGCUACAAGAACAUGGGCAAUUAAGACCUAUUGUCUUACAUGUUGAUAGCUAUUAUGAGCCGAUGAUCGUGAAUGACAAGUCUAAAAGCAAUGAGGUGCAGUCAACUCCUCAAACAGAUAUAUGUGGAAUGUAUCUAGCAAAGAUGUCGCUAAUAAAGGAGAUGUAAAUGAAGAAAUAUGUGAGGUGAGGCUUGAUCGGGGAGAUGUCCAUGGUAUAGAUACUGAAGUAGAUAAAGGCAAUGAUGUUGAGGGAAGUGAGAGUAAGAGUGAUGAUGAUGCUAACAUAAAAGAUGAUGAAGAAGACUGAUCUCAGUUGGUUCAACUAUGGUAUUGAAGGCCCGAAUGAUUGCUUGGAUGGUAAGCAUGCGGUGGAUUUGGUAGAAAGGCAGUGUAGUUGUAGGUUGUGGGAUCUAACAGGAAUCACGUGCAAACAUGCCAUUGCAGCAAUUUUCACCAACAAGGAAAAGCCUGAGGACUAUUUACAUCAGUGUUAUACCAAGGCAGUUUAUCUUAAGGCGUAUGAAGAGAUUAUCAAUCCAAUUCCUGGACAAAAUGAAUGGAUAAAGACUUCAAUGCCAGCUCCAGUGCCUUGGCGUAUAAGAAGGCCACCAGGGAGACCUAAGAAGCUUAGGAGAAGAGCUGCAGAUGAACCUUUAAACCCUUACAAAGUAUCAAGAAUGGACAAACCAAUAAAGUGUGGAAACUGCGGCAAAGAAGGCCACAAUUUGAGGACAUGUACAGCAUCAGUCACAGGGGAGACAUCAUGGCAGAGGAGGGUGAGAACCCAAAAGGAAAAACAGGUAGAAUUUUAUUUUGGAACUAAUGUAUUUGUAAUAAUAAAUUCUAACAAACCUAUUCUUUAUGAUGCAUAGAGAGCAACAAACAAAUUCUCUCAGAUUGGUGAACAAUUUAGUGUCUCACAUCCUAUCACGACAAAUUGUGAUAAUUUUGACGUAGAAACUCAUUCAAUCGGUGCCUCACAGGUAUAAUCAUUUAAUGCAAAAAAAUUUAUACAGUUGCAUGUAUUUCACAUAUUUACCUUAUUUAAUUCAAGUUAUCGUCCUUGACAGCCUGCGUUCCCUACUGAGAGAGUAGCUAAUGCAGCAGCAAAGGGUUUUGCACCAGUCAGAGGAAGAGGAAGAGGAAGAGGAAGAGCAAGAGGUGGACGAGGUGCCGCUGCUAAUGCUGCAGCCAAAAAAGCAAAUGAAGGGCCUUCUAAAGCUACAAACAUUCCAUAAAUGCUAGCUGAUGACUUUCAAAAGCUGUUGGAGGACAAGGCCUUCUAAAGCUACACUACUUCUAUUUUAUCAUACUUUUUUGUCUAUUUAAAAACUUGUAAUGCUGCUACAUUUUGUUGAGCAGUCAAUAUUGCUACACUGUAUACUUCGGGACUUGUCAUAUAUUUACGUGUAUUUUGGCUAUUUCUUUAGUUUCUUGUAAAUGAUAGACACUAUAGUUUCAGUCAUUUUCUUAGUUUCUUAAGCUGUAAAUGUUGCUUCUUUCCGGAAAAGCAAAUGCUAGAUGCUACAUUUUGGCCAUUUCUUUGAGUUUAAAGCUGUCAGUUUUACUUCUUUGGUUUCUGAAGUUGUAAAUGUUUCUUCUAACAGGAAGGAUUAUUUUGAUCAUUCUUGUGUUAAGCUUAUGAAAAGUGAUUUUGGGCACGAAUAUGAUUUUCGGUUCUAUAGAGUGUUUGGCAUCCUUGUUUCUAAAUCUUACUUUGAUUUUUAAAAUCAGUUUUCUGAUUUUCGAGACCCAAAAUCAGAAGCAACUACAACCUGUGUUUUGAAAUCUUAUUAUGAUUUUGGACUCAAAUUUUAAAAUUUUAUUUUAAUUUUGGAUUCAAUUUUCAAAUUUAAAUUCAAAUUUUAAUUUUAAACUUUAAAUUAUAUAUUCGAAUUUUUAAAUCUUAAAUUUUAACUUUUAAAUUUUAAAUUUGAAAAUUAAUAUUUAAAUUUAAAUUUUAAAUCUCAAAUUUUAAAUUUCAAAAUUUAAAAUUUAAAAUUUAAGAUAAAAUUUAAAUUUUUAAAUUUUAGAAAUUAAAAUUUAAAAUUUUAAAAAUUAUAGGUUAUAAUUUUCAAAUUACAAAUUUUAGAAAUUAAAAAUUUUAAAAUUUAAAUUUUAAAAUUUUAAAUAAAAUUUUAAGAAAAUAAUUAGAGAGACGUGAUGAACCCUCCCAAAAACGCCCGCCUCCCUCUUUUGGAUUUGAUUUGUGGGCGAAUCUUCACCUCACGUGCACUGCACAUGGCCGACUUAACAGAAAAACUAACGGGUCCGAUGGAAAAGAGAAAACAAUAACCACAGGGGGGUUAAAUGAUACGUUUCAAACCACAGGGUAGUAAAAUGAAAAAGUGCUAAACCACGGAAAGGGUUUUUGAAGUUUUUCCAAGUUAAUAAGAUGAUAGGUGGACAUGUUUGAAUAUUAGAACAAGUUAUCUAGUAGUUAUACACUUUAAGAAUUUUUAUUUUUUGAUUAAAUCUAGAAGCUCGUUAUAGUCAUCGCUAGGUCUUAUAGUCAUAUAAAUUUUUUAGAUAAUGUAUUCAAUUUACGAGGUGAUUUAAUUAUUUAGAAAAAUAGAUUUAAUCGUACUUCAUCUAUAAUUUGUAGCUAGCAAGGUUAUUGAAUAAACAAAAGAGAUGCACAAAAUAAGAAAUUUAGAUAUGUCCAAACAAGUUAACUAGUAAUAAUUUGUGCCAUAUGAGAAAUUUCUUUUGUGAUUGCAAACUAAGAAUAUUAUUUCACGCAACCAUGAUUUAAUGGUUGGAUGCUAAGCAUCUUGUUCAUCAUCUCUUUCAUUUAUUCAACAAGCUCGUAGUAUUUGGCAAAUGAGAAAUAUGACCAAAUGCAUGGAGACACCAUAUUUGGCCUUUUAUUCAUUUUUCUUGCACCCAACCCCUUUCAUAGGAAGCUAAAAUGGGACAAUUAGAGUUGAACAUGAGAAAUUCUUCUUAGGCCCUCUUUGGUUUACUCAAAAAGCUUGGACUAUUUGAUAUGUUGUGAGGUGUCUUGAUCAAAUAUCAGGAAUGAAUACAAUAUACCACUUCGUAGUUAACUUUCGGGAAUAAAUCUCGUAUAUUAAACAUGUUAUCCUAUCGAAUCAUAGAUGUGGAUGUCGGAUCUUUGGCGCUAACCAUUAAUCCCAAAAGCUCAAGUUGUUAGAAAUACACAACCAACGAGUCUCGAUUGUGACUCAGUCCAACCAGCCUCACGCCACUUCAAACAUGACUCGGCCCAACAUGGCCUCCCGCCUCCCGCCACAGGGCAUGAUGCUGGUCCAUUUAAGCCAACAAUCCCCCCUCCAGUACCUGCACACAUUUGUAGCAUGCAGGAAUCGAACCAGUGACCUCUGGCUCUGAUGCCAAUUGUCGGAUCGUUGGCGUUAACCAUAAAUCCCAAAAGCUCGAGCUGUUAGAAACACGCAACCAAUUCACUUAAAGCGUACAAAUACAGCGCCCAUAGGUCUCAAUUGUGACUCGGUCUAACCAGCCUCACGCCACUUCGAACAUGACUUGGCCAAUCUAGCCUCACGCCAUUUCGAGCAUGACUUGGCCCAACAUGGCCUCCCGCCACAGUUCAGGAUGUUGGCCCAUUUAAGCCAACAGUGGAGACUUCUUAAAGAGCAAAAUUCAAACUCCUUCCUUUUGCAGCAGAAAAUCCUUAUAAUGAAUAAGUUAUCGAAUGAUAACUUAUUUGCGUAUCCAAACAAGGCCUUAGCGCACAAGCUAUCACUGGAUACUUAUUUUGAAUAAAUCCCUUGAGAUUUAUCUUAUUUUGAGAGGAUAUUGUGGACCGAAAAGAAGUACGUCUUUGGGGACACAUCCAAUCAUAAUGUUAUAUAUCAAUUACUCCAAACGCCUAGAGGAACAAAAUUGUGACGAUGUUCAUACAUCUAAACAAAUACUUAGCCUAUUUGGCUGCUAGAAUAAAUCAACUAAUGAUAACAUGAGCUGUUUGGAUGAUGGAAUAGUAACUUGAGCUGCAACCAAUGAUUUUGAUUUUACUUCAUUGCAAGAUUCCAAUAGUGAUGAUUGUCAAGAUAGUGCACUCCUAAGGCAAGGUGAAUUUCUUACUUGGAGAAACAUAAAUUAGGCAGUGUACAUAGAAUGCGGUUUAAACAUCUCCUAGAACUCCCAGCAACCAAUUAUCAGUCCCGAGAGUAAGCAAAAGAGAUAUACUGAAUGAACGAAAUAUACAGAACGAAUAUUCAGUAAGCAAAAGAGAUAUACUACGCUGAACGAAAUAUUCAUAUAUCCAAAUAUGCCCGAGAUUCAUUGAAAGUUACCUGAUUAUAAUACUAACUGAUAAUUUUCGUUGAAGCAAGACACCCAUGGCCUCUGCCUAAAACCUGUAAAUCUUAGAUCUUCUGAUGUUGCAAUCAUUUCCACUUUUUUCGGUUACCUACAGCAAAUACACAUAAACGGCAAAACUGCAGAUAAAUAUAGGUUUAUUUACCCUAAUAUCUUGAUUCAUUGCUUCUGAUGAGAAAAGUGUUAUUGCAAUGAUCAGAGUAGACAAUAAAUGACGUACUACUUAGCCAACAAUUUUAUGCUUUGCGGGCCGCAAAAUCCUCUCAGAGAAACAAUUGAUACAUAAAAAACCUGAGGUACACUAAUUACAUCUCUCAGGGUUUCAUUCUUCACUCUCACCAAGAGUAAAUCUCACGAACCUCCGAACCUUGAUAUUCUCUCCAAGCGCUGCGACUGUCUGCUUCACGAGAUCCUUCACCAAAACCCCGUCAUCCUUAAUAAAAGGUUGCUCCAACAGUGCGAGCUCUCCCAGCCUCUUCGAUAUCCUCCCUUCCACUAUCUUCUCUCUUAUAUUCUCAGGUUUCGAUUGAAUAUCCUCUCUUUGCAUCUCGAUCUCUCUCUCCUUGUCCACGAUAUCCUUAGAGAUAUCCUCGAUUGACACAAAUUCAACCUGAAAACAUUCACAGGUCAGGUAUUAGGAAGAAAUUCAACGAGUCAGAGUAGUUGAGUAUUCAGGAGAACUUAAGUAAAUCUGAGAAAAGUUCAAAAGAAAAAAAAAAAAAAACUUGGCUAGCUAAAAAUAAGUAUAUAGCAUCGAAUAUAUACAAAAGGAACAUUAUUUGACACUUAUUUUACCCCUGAUCUUUCUACGAUAGCAAAAAGUAAAAUAGAUAAUAAACAUUAAUUCAACAUGUACAAUUCUUAAAAAUCUUCAACCAUUCCUGUCGAUUUCUAUCUUAGAGAAUAGUCCGAUGAAUCCCUCGAACAACCUAAAAAUGUGUAUUAUCGCGAAUUUUUCAGAAAAAAAAAUGGGAGAAUUUUAUGACUAAUUACCUGAGGGCAAGCCACGACUUGCAUUGCAAGGUCGUCAACCAAUUCUUUGAAUUUCUCAUUCUGACCCACAAAGUCAGUCUCACAGUUGACUUCAAUGAGGCAGCCAAUGCGAGAGUCAUGGAUGUAAGCAGAGAUGAGUCCCUCCGCGGCAAGUCGGGAGGAUUUCUUGUCUGCGGAGGAUAGUCCUUUCUUUCGGAGGUAUUCUUGGGCCUUUACGAGGUCGCCCCCUGUUUCAGUUAGGGCUUUCUUGCAGUCCAUCAUGCCGGCACCGGUUUCCUCCCUCAGUUGUUUCACUAAGGCUGCUGAUACUGCCGUAGCAGGCGGCCUGCAAGUUGACAGUUUUAAUGUAUGUUAAUUACUGCCAAGAAACUGUAGUCAAAAUCUAAGCAUAUUUUUAGACUAUAUGUGAUGCUUGAUUACUUUGUACAAAUGAAGAAAAGGAGGUAUAAAGCCGAACAACUAAAUGUAAGAACUAGAAAUUGAAAUAUGUAAAAGACUUUUUGGCCUGGCUUCUGGAAAGGCUUCAAUAACCAAUAAAGAAAAAACUUCCGAACACCCAAGUGUUUUGCUAAUAAGAAGACCAAGAGCCUUUACAGGGUAGAGAAGCCGAAGCAAAGCUCUUGGGUUCAGUAGCAGAAUCACCAAUUCGAAGUUCCUACUUCUGUUGCAGCAAGAAUAUGCCGAGGAUAUUUUGAUGAAAAAGUUAUUAGCGCCACUUACAAACAGUUCUUCUCAAAUAGCAAUUAUGCAGAAGCUACAGCUAGAACAAAUAGGGUGUAAUAUGAAGACAACUAAGUUCUCUUAUGUGAGGCCUAUUUCUGCUAUUUUGUUCAUCGGAGCCAGAAGAAUUUGGCCACUGGAUUCUGAGUGUUGAAAAACUCAUGCACAAUAAAAACCCCUUCAAAUGUAGGUUUAGUACAUGAAAGAGUAUCUCACUUCUAACAACUGCAUCAGAUGCUAAGGCUAAGCUAUCAAAGAGCGAGGAAAAAAAAAAAAGUACUUUGCUUCAGCAGAAUUAUCCUUUGGUACUGAAGGAGAAGCCUUUGCAGCAGUUUGUGCAGCCACUUCCGCAGCAAAGUCCUGGCUUUUCUUCUCCAAACCCUCCCCUAAAUUGUACCUUACAAACCUCUUAACCUUUAUGUUUUCCCCAAUUGUGGCAAUAGUUUGCUUCACCAUAUCCUUAACCACCACUUUAUCAUUCUUAAUAUAUGGUUGCUCAAGUAAUGCAAAUUCUUCAAGCCUCUUCUUUAUUCUUCCUUCAACGAUUUUUGCCCUAAUCUGCUCGGGUUUUGAUAAAAGGUCCUCCUUCUGCAUCUCUAUUUCCUUCUCCUUGCUCACAAUUUCCUCCGGGACAUCCACAGUAGCCAAAUAGCGCACUUGAGGACAAGCAGCUACCUGCAUGGCGAGAUCGUCGACCAACUGCUUAAAGAUCUCACCACGGGAGACGAAAUCGGUUUCACAGUUGACUUCGAUAAGAAUUCCAAUUCGGCCGUCAUGGACAUAAGAUCCAAUCCGUCCCUCAGCAGUGACUCUGCUUGCCUUUUUGUCGGCACUUGCCAGCCCUUUUUUGCGGAGGUAUUCUUGGGCUUUAACAAUGUCACCAUCAGUUUCUGCAAGAGCUUUCUUGCAAUCCAUCAUACCCGCUCCAGUUUCUUCACGUAAUUGUUUUACAAGAGCAGGGGAAAUUGUCGUUGUAUUUUUAGCUUCAACUGGGAGUAACAAAAGCAUAUGUAAAUUACAGGAUUUAAUAGACACCGAGACUUCAUUAACAUUAACACAUGUGAACUAACAGUGAAAUGAGGAAGUUUGCAUUAUCAUGCAGAAUUAUAAAGUAAUAUUAUGAAAAUAAGGGCUUCCGUUCGUAAAAUUUGUGAAAAAAUGUCGACAAGAUUUGUAAUUUCAUAGAUAACAAAGAAGUAACCAUCUUGAUCUACUAUAAUACGCAGUAAAUAACAACAUCUACUGCUAUCAGUACAAUAAGAACAGUGAGAUUCAUAAAAAGUAUGAUUAAUUCAGAUGUAUUUAAACUUUAAAUCAGUGAGCCUUAAAAGUUAAUACAUUUUAUGUCAAAUGUUCUGCAUAAAGGAGACCAACAUUAUCAAUAUCAAUAUAUCAUAGCGCUAAUUAGAAACAAAUAUGAGCGUCCAAAUUAAUUUAUUGUGCAAUAUUAGAGUUAAGCUUAAGCUUGCGUAGUUUCCUACUGGAAAAAUUUUCUUUCAUCUAGCAUAAAGCAACGACAGUUACCAACCUUUGAUAGUGCUUCCUUGAUCAGCAGCAUCAUUUUGCAUUUCUGAGAUUUCAGAAGUUUCCGAUUUUUCAUCUUUUACUUCAUUCACAAUCACCACAGGUUUUUCUGUUUCCUUACCAUCUAUUAUAUCAUCAUCUUCUUGGUUAGCAGCAGUAUCCUCAGGUAACACAUCUUUUGGCGACAAAUUCUCACCACCUGUUUCUCCAGAUGACUCAAUAUUGUUAUCGGUAUCGUUUCCCCCGUAAGAAGCUUUUUCUUCCAUAGAAUCUGAAAGUUCUUUACUUUCGUCAGCUCUUGAACUUGUAGAGCUCUCAUCAUCUUUAGCGGCAGUCUGAAAUUUGAGAUCAGCUUCAGUGACUUCCUCAUCAUCUUGUACUGAAGAAGAUACUUCAGGCUCGAUGGUUUUAUCAACAGUUUCCGAAAUCAAAUCUUGACCAGUGCUCUCUGAGGUUUCAUUUUCAGAAGAUUCCUCUUUCUCUGAAACCAAAGAGUUAGAACUUGCAAUUGCCGCCUCUACUACAUUGGUUACAGUGCUAGGAUCCUUCACUUCCUCUGGUAGGGAUAUUUCAUCUGAUACUGAUUCUGAAGUGGACUCAAUCGAUGUUUUAGAGCUGUUCUCACCUUCUGCUGCUUCUUUAAGGACGGAAUCAGAAAUUUGUGGUGAAGAGUUCUCAAUUUCUUCCUCUUUGCUAACCAAAUCUGUGGAUAAUAAACCUGUCGCAGAAGUUUGGUCUUGGUCCAAUUCAUCAUCCACUUCUUUCUCCUCAACUUCAUCAUCAGUUCCCAUGUUGGUCACUAGGGUUUCCACAUUUUCUUCGAUAUUUUCAGAAAUUUCCGAAACAUUCACCUUUUCAUUGGUUUUCUGUGCUUCUUCUCGUUCAUCUAAAAAUGCAGAGAUCUCCUUGUUCCUCCUAAAAGCCAACUCAAAGGGGUUAGUCGCCAUGUGAACCACCCCUUGAUUAAGUUUUCUAUUUAACCCUUCAACAUCUUCUUCUUGCUUCAUCGUCAAAGUCACCUGCCCUCUAGCUAUUCUUAAUACUCUUACAUUAACUUCCUGACCGACUUGCAAGGAAGAGUUCCCCAAAAUUCCACCAAACCCCUCGGAUUCCUCAGAAACCGGAAGAAACCCUUCCUCACCAUCAGGAAGCGACACAAAAGCCCCCGACCUAGUUAAAUUUUUCACCGCGCCACUCAAAGCUUGUCCUUUGACAAACUUAGAGCUCUUUUGAGCCUCCCCCUUUUUAGCAUUGGGCCUCAAACUGUUUUUUCUUGCCGGUCUCGUCUUCUCACCAGCAGCGGGAGCUUCUUUUUUCUUAUUGCCAUCAUCAUUUUCACGCAUCGUGAGGGAAAUUCGCCCACUUUCCUUAUUUGCUUCGACAAUUCGCACUUUAACCUCUUGUCCCACAGAGAAAAGAGCAGAGACAUCCUUGACAUACCCGUCGCUCACUCUCGAGACAUGAACAAGGCCGUCACUAAAGGCUCCAAAAUCAACAAAAAGACCGAAUGGCUGAAUCGAUCUUACUUUUCCAGUAAAAUAAGCACCGGGUAUUAAUUCCUCAUCUUUGACAGGUGGCAUCUCACUCUUUCUAGCAGGCCUUGGACGUUUGCCUUUAUUAGAAGUAACAGGAGGAUUAGUUGGAGUCGGUUCACUUGCUUCACUGGAACUAGUUGCAGUUUCUGAGUUUGCAUCAGAAGUUUCACUCGAAACAGAAGGAUUUGGCUCCUCGACAGAAACGUCGGUCCCAACAGCAGUUAUGAUUUGGCUUCUCAGCAAAUGCUUUGAGCUCCAGCUUCUGUUGUACAUUGGGAUCAAGUUUAAUGAUGAUUGUGGAAAUAGAAACCUUUGGGAUGAUGAUCGUAGCCUUGGGUGCUUCGCAAAAACACUGCAUUUUUUUAGUUGGCCUUCUUUCCUUGAGAUGUAACUGCUUCGGUGAAGUAGACUGAUAUUGCCGACAGAACAAUGAAUUACAGGCAUCAUAUUUGAUGCAACCAGAAGUGCACCCGCAACUAGCAGUGGACAAUGCAAACUCUCCUAGAAACCUGUGCACAAGGAAGUUUAGUGUGAAAAUCGAGAAUGAGAAUAUUCAUAUAAUAAAUGAUGUGAUAAUCCUAUACAUUUUUUGACCAUAAAGAUUGAGAUUGACAUAAUCACAAUUUCCAAUCCCUAAAGGUAUGAAAAUUGAAAAAGGUGCAAAUCUGGACUCCUUGGGCCUUGCAUAUGAAAUAUCAAUAAGACAAACAAUUGGCGACAAUGUGAUCAUACAAGAAAGAACUUUCUACCACUGCAAGUAAGAUGUAUAAAAGAUUCUCAUAUUACAUAAAACAACCUGACUAAACAAAUUGAUUAACCUUUUUGAUGUUAACAACUGAAUCAAUUCUAGCAGCUUACCACUAGAAUAGGUGAUUAUCCAUGCAAACGCACAAUGACAUAACCAGACGAUAAAUUGGUCACUUGCUUAAAUAUUUAGGACAACAUAACUUACAAUGAAAGGGAUAUGGCAAGCAAAGGCAAUCCAAAUUAACUUAAAAGCUGUUCACCAAGUUCCUAUAAACAAAAUGGCCCACAACUGAAGGGAGAUGGUAACCAUAGGUAAUCCAAAUUAGCUCAAAAGCUAUUCAUCGAGGGCCUAUAAACACAAUGGCCUAGGUCAGGGUGAUUCUUAUCAUCGAAGAUUUUACUAAAACGUCAGCUCUUUUAUACAUGCAUAUACUCCUACGCUAAACUGCUAACUUGAUUAAAAUGCAUCAAUUUAGCAUAUAAGGCAAAUUUCUUAUUUGCAGCGAUAAAUUUAUACUAGAUCUUUAGCUCAAUGGCACGGCAUAUUGGCAUGUGAUAUAUGGAGCUCCAGAAUCUUCGUGCAAGUUUUCUAUACCAUAUCUCACUAUAUUGAACUGCGUAUUUAGGUCAGCAUAUCAUAUUACUCCGAGAAGUCAAUGACAAUCCUCAACUAAUUAACACCCUGAAAAAUCACUUAAACAACAAACUCACAAGAUGUAGUCUAACUUGUUUCGAGUCUUACUAAUAAAAGUUGAUGUAGAAGUAGAGGGUCUCUCAAAAUCUCUAAUUUGAUACUUCCUUUUGUAAGAAAUUUUUGUAAAAUAAUUUAAUAUUUAUAUAUGUAUCUUUUGAUAUUUAUGAGAGGCAAGAGAGUGUGAUUCUUGGAAUGAGUGCAUGUUAUUCAUAAAGGACUUGUUGAAGAGGCUUUAGACCGUAGCCCUCAUUACCAUGGUCCAAGACUAGUCAUCGACUGAUAAUAUUGUGAAUUGACUUAAUUAACCGUUGUUGUGGUUACUCAUGUGAAAUGAAAGUUGCGCCCUUUCAAUUGGAUACGAUCAUAACCAUCUUGUGGCGAAUUUGAGUUGCAACGUUUCAGUUUUGAACAGUCACAUGGAAAAAGUAUCUGUUCACUUUCAGAUCUAGUCUAUAAAUAUUAUGUCCAAUGCACUGAAAACAGCAACAACAAUAUUGUAUAAAAAUACUCUUCAACGUCUCAUUGCACCCAUUCUUGACAACUUAAUAAUUUUCAGAGUGCUCUCGGUCUAACUUUGUGCGUGCAAAUGCAAUCAAAGAUCGCGCUUCAUUGUAUCCUGAGAGGCUAUUUGUUGACCCGGUGCACACCAAUUCUCUCGAACAUUGGGUACAAAUUAAGCCUUAAGGAGAGUGACAUUACUACACACGCCUUGAAGCUUUUUUCAUCUUUCUACCUUUUUCUUCUCCAUUUGCUACAACCCUUUUACGUCCAGUCCUCAAUUGAAAACAAUAAAGUGAAAAAAGUUGAAGAUGAAAACUUCUAGAAUUCCGAAAAGAUUAUGUCAAUCAAAUUGGUUUAGGUAAUCAGUCAACCAGUCUGUGACCUGUUGGGAUGCCUAUUUGAUACCAAAUAUGAGCAUAGCCUGCUCAUGACCAAACCCAAACACUUAAAAGAUAAGGAUCUAUUUGUUCUAGUGAAAGUUGACACAUAGAAUUUAACUUUAACCAGAAAAUGGAUAACUUCUGCCUUUUGCUUAGUUAAAGUGGGUCAAAAGUACCAAAUUGGACUUUCAUUAAUGGCCGAGUUGUUUCGAUAAUUGCUUUGGCUGGCGGGAAGCCAAAAUCAUUCAAGUUGAGCAGAAAGUACAUCAUAAUAAUGGUAUGACUUCUUCCAAAGAUUUAAAUACUAAUAAACAAGCACAACAAUGAACACACACAACCUACAUAAAAGAAAUAAGAACAACUAAAAUUUUAAUUGUCCGAAAAAAUUUCAAUAAUCUAAAUAGAGUAAGGGCAUGUUUGGUAUUUCCGCACUCAGUCCAGCAAAUUCACGGCUUCAUAGAAAUCGACAUUGAGGGCGAACUCAAGUUCCCCCUCAGUAGACGAAGUAGGGGAGAUCCUGAGCGGUUUUUUAUGUGGGUCCCAUAUAGAAAUACCCGAUUUCCAAAAUUCACACACCUAACCAAACAACAGAGGUUUUCACCUCCUCGAUCUGGAGACUUAGCUCUCCCUCUUCAUCAUAAACAAACACGCCCUAAAAUCUAAUAAUUUAACAUAGCCUGAUAGAAUACUUGAAAAUAACAAUAAUAUAGACAUAAAACAAUCAUAAUAUGAUUGUCCAUCAAGUAACAAAAUUAAAAUAGUAACAAAUAGAAAUAAUAAUUAAUGGUUCUACAUGUAAGAAUAUAAUACAAAAGUACAUAAAUUCCAUACACCCUGCAUAAUAUAAAAAAUAAUUAAAUGGAAAAAUAAGUGACAUGCAGCAUAGUCCAAAUAUCUAUAUACAAUAUUGAAGUUAAAAUUUCAAAUGAACUGAAACCAACACUAUCAAACAUCAUUAAUCAACAUAAUACAAUCACAUAAAAUAAUGCUUGAAUGAUCUUAUGUGGAGCACAAUCAAAUAAUCUGAACAAAUAAUGAAAGCUCAAUUAUAUUAAUGAUAAGCCCAUAUGAAAUCAUCAAUGGAAGCUCUCUAACUUUAAGUUCAAUGCUAACAAGUUUCGGGGAAACAAACAUCUGCUAAAGAACUCAAAUGGUAAGAAACUUUAGAUCGAAUCUACUUAUAUUUGUGUCAAAAUAAGCAGCCCCCUAAUAGAUCCACUUGCAAAAAUAACAGCCCUGAAACAUCUUAUUCUGCCAGACAUUAUCUAGAUGAAGCCUGUACUGGAAAAAUGGGCAAUCUCAUUUCUGAGUCAAGCAUAUUUAACUUGUCAACCCACGAAUUCUCACAAGCCUUUUGACAAGUAUAACUAGAGAUAUGCGAACCUUGUACAAUCACAUAUUCUAGCGAAUAACACUUCUCCAUCAUCCGAACACAACUCGAUAGGACCAAAUUAGCAUUAGACACUGAAACAUAGACUUCAGUGCAGAAAGUUAAGAACUUAAAUAGGGGAAAAAAACUUUCUUUAACCCGUUUAUUUUUUUCAACCAAGUUCCUCUAAACAGCACUCUCCACAAAUGGGCAAUAUAUGCAUCAAGCGGGUCCCUUUAUUCUAAUCACCAAGACCCAACAAUUUUUUUUAAAAAAAUUGCAACUUUGGUAGCCUCUGUGGCAUCAAACAAGAACCAGUCGCAUAAAAUUAGCCAGGAACACCACAAUUUCGAUGAAAUUGCAGGAAACAAUUAAGCACUUAAUAUAACAAUUUUUAGUAGCUUGAUUGCACCAAACAAAACGCAAUAGCUCAAAUGAGCUAGAAACACCGCAGUUCCAUUAAAAUUACAUGAAAUACCCAAAACCCAACAUAAAAAAAUUGCAACUUCGGUAACUUGAUGGCACCUAAACAAGAUCCAGUAGCUCAAAUAAGGUAGAAACACCACAAUUCCAUCAAAAUUAAAUGAAAACCCAACAUAAAAAUUCACAACUUUGGAACCUUGGUGGCAUCUAAACAAGACCCAGUAGCUCAGAUAAGCUAGAAACACCACAAUUGCAUCAAAAUUACAGGGAAAAAAAAAGAAUCAAAAUCCAACAUAGAAAUUGCAACAUUGGUAACUUGGCGGCACCUAAACAAUACCCAAUAGCACACCUAACCUAGAAACACGACAAUUACAUCAAAUUUUUAGGAAAUAAGCAAAACCCAUUAAAGAGCAGGACUCAUUGGAGUAUCAAACUAGUAUAAAAUUGGAAGAAGCAAUUCAACAAACAAGUCACGGUGAACAAGCUCUUCACCUUCGCGGGGCGAGGAGGUAGGAAACAGUGACACCACCAUCCACUUGGCUCCCUCUUCCUCUUCUUCUUCUAGUGGAGAGAGGAAUGGUGGAUAGGAGAGAGAGAGAGAGAGAGAGAGAGAGGCGAGGGCUUUAUAUCCUUAUCCGAAGAGUGUUGGAGAGAGAGAGCGAAGGGGGGUGAGAGAAGAUGAGUACUUUGAGAAUGGUCGGAGGUUAUAAAGCCGCGGGCCGGGGAAUAAUCGGAGUUUUCUUCCAAAUAAUCCUAAUAAAAGAUAUUAUAAUUGGCUAAAUAGCAUUACUAAACAAAUAUUUAGCAAAAUAAUCCUCUUUCUGUUAAGUCAGUGUGGGAAUAAAUUUUUUUUAAAAAAACAGUGAAGCGUUCAUAAUUUCAUAUAAAGCGGUGAAUCAUUCACCACUUUCUUGAAAAUUAUUUGUUAGGAUUUUAGGUUGUUAAGAUUGUAUGUGAUUUUUUAAAAUUUUCAUAUUAUUUGUUAAAAUUAUAUAUGAAAAAUAAAAAAAACUAAGAUUAUUAGGAUUAUAUGAGAAUUAUUAGAAUUUCUCAUUGAUUGUUAAUAUUGUAUGAAUAGAGUAUUAGAAUUUAUUAGAUUAUUAAGAUUAUAUGUGAUUUGUUGAAAUUUUUAUAUAAUUUUUAGAAUUAUAUGAAAAAUAAAAAAAUAUAUUUAACUAAAUAGUGAUAGAAUAAAAUUUUAUCCAAAAAACGGUGAAUUAUUUACCGUUUUCAUAACCAGUAAACAAUUCCUAUUUAACUUCUCAUAAAAGUAAUGAAUUACUCGAAUUACUCACUGUCUUUCUCUUUUGUUGUUUUUUUUUUAUUUUUCAUAUAAUUCUAAAAAUUAUAUAAAAAUUUUAACAAACCAUAUAUAAUCUUAAUAAUAAAAAAUAUCAUAAUAAUCUAUUCAUACAAUCCUAAUAAUCUAACAAAAAUUCGAAUAAUCUACAUAUAAUCCUAACCAUCUCAUUUUUUUAAUUUUUUAUAUAUAAUUCUGACAACCAUAUACAAAUNGAAUUUAUUAGAUUAUUAAGAUUAUAUGUGAUUUGUUGAAAUUUUUAUAUAAUUUUUAGAAUUAUAUAUGAGAAAUAGAGAGAAACAGUAAAAGACAGUAAAUCAUUCACUAUUUUUAUAGAAAAUUGAAAAGAUGGUUAAUCGUAUACCGUCUUCAUAAAAGCGGUAAAUGUUUUAUUAUUUUUAAAAGAAAAUUCUAUUGUGCUCCUACAUGCCACAAAAAAAAAAAAAUAGUUUUUCCUUUUUUCAUAAGAUUAUUUAUUCAAUUAGAAAAUUUUAUUAGGUACUGUAUAAUCAAGUCGGGCCAAAAAAAGGGUGCGAACCGGAAUAAUCAAAUAAUAAAUAAUAAUCAAAUUCUCAAUAAAAAAAGAUUUUAAGUAAUAAAAGUAAUUUAAUUAUACUAAAAUAUACUAAUCUAACCUAAUAGUAUUGGACCAGACCCUUUAUUUUUUUAUGUUUUGUAUAGAGAAACUUUAGUUUGAAUCUGCCUCCCUUAACACAUAUUCACUUUGCCACCUGUGAUUUAAUUUUUUUUUAAUCACUGUAGGGACCUAUCUUUAAAUAAGCUAGUAAAGUGCUAAAAUUUAUAAAUUACAGGAUAGUAAACUAUGGGCGUUGCAAUCAAAUGUCUAGCAUGACAUACAAUAUUCAAUUCACAUGUUAUUUUUUAAAAAUAAAAUAAAUUAACUCGUAGGUAAAUUACAUUCUAUCAAAUUAUUGAUGUCGAUUCCUUUCAAAGAAAAAAGAUCACAUGUUGCUUCUGAUCACAUAAAAAUAUUCUCCCACCAAAUAAAUUAUCGCCAAAUAAUUUAUUUUGAUAUCCAAAACAGUACCUAUAUUCUUUCCAUAGUGUUGAGCCAAUUAGGCGUGUACAGGUGGUAUGCCGGUAUUCCUUUCAAAGGCAUUAAUCUAGCCAUGCACCAGGAGCACCGGAAAAGUUUUAAAGAAAAAUCAUCGCGCUAAUUGAAGGAAGUUACAGCAACUGCAAGCAGUUGUAUGCGGUUCCGAUCGGCUGGAGGUGGUCCGGGAUAUUAGGAAAUAGUGGCCUAUCAUGUAAGAGCAAUAACUGAUCAAGAGGUGAUUUAUAAAUAGGUCAAUUACGCCCUAAAAAGAGUUCUUUUCCCUUGUGAACAAAAAGACCAUCCUUAUUUCCUCGCAAUUUCCUGCAUUUUCUAGGAGUAGUCUAAUUAUAACUUUUACUGUCUUCUCUAGGAGUAGUUCGCUAAGUAGAACCCUGGAGUCUGUCUGCCCCACGGGCAUCACUCCGUUGUAAACUAAAUAUUCAUCCCUGUACUUCCCAUCAGUCAAUUAAUAGAAAGUCAUUUCGGCUUUUCAAGCCGACCAAAUCUUGUGUUGCUUUAGCCAUUCGGCUCUUCUUCCGGCUUAGUUUCCGGCCUGCUCUGUACAUUCGGCUCAUUCAAGCCGAACCGAAACAAAUAGUAGUGGUUUUCGAACCCGGCUGGCUCGAUCCCUCGUCAGUCGAAUCGCUUGAUCUGUCGAAGGGUGCAAACUUCGAGGGUCACUAUCCGCAGCCGUUCCUCACCCAGACGCGCUCCCUGAGGAGGAUCUUUGACUCUGUCAAGGGUAGGGAAAUUCGAUGCCCAACAAUUUUUGGCACGCCCGGUGGGACACAUUAGAGGUAACUUUUAUUUUUUAUAUAAAUUAUGGCUGAUGAUAACGUCAUGAAUCUACGUAAUAGGGCCGUUCCUAGAAAUUCUGGGAGCGAACAGCCAAGUAAUUCAGAUAAUAAUGGAGAGCGCCAAGUAGUCUUACCCGCUGAGGGUGAGACUAGUGGCCAAUCUGGCCAACAAGAGCCUAGUUUCAGCCAAGCGCUUGGACAAAUGACUCGGGUCCUGCAAGUUUUGGACCAAAAUAGUCAUGCAAGUACUGAACGGAUAGAUGCAGUAUUGGCUGCAAUCACGGCCUCUAAUGAAAACAUUGCCCGAAUAGGGCAAUUGUUGACUCGGAAUGAUCAGCCAGCAGUAGGCUUACAAAUGCCUAUGAUGGCGCCGGUGUUACAGAAUCUCGUAACCCCGGUAAAUGGACAGCCCCAAUACCAGGGGGCACCAUAUCAGGUAGCAUAUAGACCGGCUGUUAUUAAUGCCGGUCAACAGCCAGAGAUAGUGUACCACACUGGACCUGAGCAAAUUGCGAGAUUCGAGUGAUUGGAUGUGUUUCGAGCUUUUCCAUGCUUGGUGGAGGGUCGUAGAAUGUUUUUCGACCUAAGAAGUUCGAAAACCUGAGUUCUGGACGAGUCCUGAGAGUUUUUACUCUCGGGGACCGGUCCCUGAUAGAAGAGACCGGUCCCCUCAGAGCAGUGUUGCGGCAGCCGGCGAGGCAACCGGUCCCUGGCGGGUGAGAUCGGUCCCCGAGCGCGUCCACGCGGGGAGAAACCGGUCCCGUGCGGGGAGAGACUGGUUCCCGAACGUGGGGUUUUCGGGGCAGGCCGAGAGACCGGUCUCAUGUCGGGGAGACCGGUCCCUCAGUCCGAAAUCUGCCCAGACUGAGCUGAUGCAAUAUUGGAUUUUUGAGGGGCCUCUUUGGAUUUUGUUACUUUAGAUGGCUUAAAUAGCCAUUCCACCCUCUCCCUUCCUCAUUUCUCUUCUCUCAACCCUCCCCACACCCUUGUUAGAGAGGGAAGAAGAAGGAGAAGAAGAAGGAGAAGUUGGAGAGCAAGCUUGAGGGAGCUUUGGAGCACUUCCUCUCUCUCAUUUCUCACCUUUGGAGGCUUGGAGCUUGGAUGGAUUAAUCUCCAACCUCUAAGCAUUUUGAGCUUGGUUUAGAUCUCCUGUUGAGGUUAGUUGCUUAGUUCUCCACUCUAGACCUAUUUUUGGUAGAUUUUGGGAGAUGAAACCCUAGAUUUGGAUUUUAGGGUUGAUUUUGCGGUUUUUUGAUCUAGGGCUUUUGAGGCUCAAUUUCUUGAUUUAGGAUCUUCCUUGGGGUUGGAUUGGAAGGAUUCUAGCUCUCUUUUGGAGCUUGAGAGAUAUUUUCUACUUCCUAGGUGAGUUUUUACCCUUUGCUUGUGGUGGUUGGUGUUUGAGCCUAGAGUUGCUCGUAAUGUUUGUUUAUCUCUUCGCUCCUUACUUUUAGGGUACUUAGAGACUCGUGGACAACUCCGUUUGGCGAAACGAAGGACUCCGAGACGGUUCGGUGGGUUUGACCUAGCCACACAAUGAGAAAAUCUCAUUUGUGAUGAUUUGAGUCUCGUUAAAUGAAAAAGCAUGCAUAAUCAUGUUAGAUAUGUUAUUUAUGAAUUUUAGAAUGCGUAAAAUGCUUAUGUUACAUACUUUGUAUUUUCGGACCUCUAUAAAGUAGAGAACUUGCAUAUGAGGCGUAUAUGUGUAUUAGCAUUCUUAUGAGAGACUUGGGUUCAUGUUUACCUAGUAGAAAUGACAUAUGUAAAAAUACCUAUGGACUUAGACCUCAUUUGGACAUUGAAACUAUUAUAAUGCCAUAAAGCGGCAUUGGACUAAUUUGACUUGUGAAUUAGUGAACUAAUGUCAUAAAGGGGCAUUGAGCUCGGGUUAGAUGAGAACCUAGUACUAAUGUCAUGAAUGGAACAUAGAAUGUAAAAUAUGCUUAACUUAUAGCAAGCUUAAGUGUCAUAAAGAGGCACUAAGCAUAGUGAGUGUUUGAACAUUACCAUGUGACAAUGAACUAGAUCUUUGGGAUACUAGUAGCGUUGACCAUGUUAGAGACAUGAUGAUUGGGUAUUUGAGACGAUGAUUACGCUUGUUUGCCAUUUGUGCUCAUUCGCACAUGCUUGUGAGGGUCGCUCCCUACAAGCCGGCACUCCGGAGUUGGCCUACGCGACUUAUGCUCGCUCGUGUGGUAUCGAGAAACCUACGGGGUCGGGAGGGAUAGACUCAUUCCUAGAGUGAGAAUGCUGGAGCUACCACCGACACUUAGGUGGCACAAGCUGGACUACAAUAUGUAGGUCCUAGAACAUGUUGGAAACAAUGAUAUUUAAUCGAGAGAUGAUAAUCACUACUAGAUAGGAUUAGUAGUUGGAUUACUAUGACAUGCUUAUAGCAUAGUGUUGAGACAUGUAGUAUACUUGAUAGUUUACUUAUUGCAUCAUUGUAUACUUGGUUGCCAUGAUAGAGCAUAAUCAUUAUAUAUUGAUAGAGCGUGACAUGAUACUUGUUGCGUGUUGGGACAUAUUACUUAUGCAUCGGAUAUUCCUCAUCAUGAGAGAGCAAAUGUACAACAUACAUGUUUUCUUAUCGCAGUCAUUACUAUCAUUUCUGUUGCUUAUCGUACUUACCAUUUUCCUUUGGGGCCUAGUGGUGCAUCGAGCUGAGGUCAGUAAUUGCCCACUGGGAACUAUAAAUUAUAGUUCUCACGCCCUCUUUUUCUUGUUGUAUUUCAGAGCUUUCGGCACCGGCGGAGGCACGGGAUCGCAGCAAAGGAGUCGCGUAGCUAGCUAGCUGGGAGCUACUUGUGAAUUUAGGUAGUUUAUCUUUUGUAUUAGAGAGUGAGAGAGAUUUUGAGAACCAUGUGUAGAGAGACCACCUGAGUCUCUUGAUGUUUAGUUUUUGUUUUUGGGAUUCCUUCUGUACUACUCUUUGGCUUUAUUUGUAGAUUUCAGUUUUAUGCUUACCCUUCUGUGUAGAACUUAGUCAUUUACUUUGCUCUGAUAUCGCUAGAUUCUUUUGCUUUCUUGUUUUAUUUUUCGCUGUUGUUGUAGACGCCUUAUAUGUGUAGACAUAUGGCGGGUCUGGGCGCGCUACCGGGAGGGCCUCUGCCGGUCCCGGGGCGUGACAGAUUAGUUUGGUAUCAGAGCCUAGGGUGGAGUCUUAGAGGACCUAGCAAACCUUAAGCCGGUUGGACUAUAGGAAAUAGGCUCGUGAGAGACGAGGUCUAUUUGACUUAUGAGCGAAAGUACUAUGAUUGGGUUUUAUGACAACUCUAAAAAGUUAGAGUUUAAUCUGAGUGUAUGGCUUCUAACUUCGCGGAGGGUUACGUUUGCAGCCGACAACGUAACAUCGGGAGUUAGUUGUGGAUAACACUUCCUUACUUUCGCAUGAUUUGGGUAUUGUUGCUUGAGCGGAGAUUCGAUAGCGCGGGUUACUAACUUGCGCUUUUAUGUUUUGUAGUGACUAUGCCGAUUACGCGCUCUCAAUCGACGGGAGCGGACAAUGCGGCACAGUUUGAGGAGGCUGAGACCUCCGCUACCUCCGGAUCCGGCGAGAUCCGUGAGUUGAGGGGCCAGUUUGCAGCCCUCACUGAGUUGGUGACACGACAAGCGGACACGGCGCUUCGACAAGAGACGCAGAUGAACCUCCUUGAGGACCUUCUGCUGCAGCAGGCGACUGCCAGGGAGACUCAGAUCCCUAUACCACCCGCACCAGUAGAGGUGGUCGCUCCCAGGGUGUCGUCCCUUGCACUCGAUGCUUCUAGGACGGCACCAGCGGCGGCACCUCGGGAGGAGGACAUCGCUGCCCCCCCAGCGCUAGCGCCUGUAGCGAGGGCGGUUUUCCCCGUGAUGGUUGAGGGAGCUGAGCGGGAUCGACUUAUGGAGCGUCUCAGUGAGUUCAGGAGAUGCAGCCCCCGGACCUUUGAUGGGGAGAACAUGGAUCACUGGAUCGUGGAGAAAUGGCUUAUGCAUAUGGAGAAGCUGUUUCGGGACACCUUUGUAGAGGAGAGGGACAGAGUUUGGUUCGCUACACAUCAUCUGGACGGCGAGGUCUACUGGUGGUGGUUGGACAUCCAGGACAACCCCAGCACGGAUCUGACGGCGAUUUCUUGGAGGAGGUUCAAGGAACUCCUGCUGGAGCAUUACUUUCCUGACAGUGUCAAGAGGAAAAUGGAGCAAGAUCUGCGCAACCUGCGCCAGGGAGACAGGACGGUGGCUGAGUACGAGAGAGAGUUCUCCCGGCUUCUUCAUUGCGUGCCCUUCGUUGUUCGGGACGGCGAGGACAAGGCCCGCAUUUUCGAGCGGGGACUACGGCCUUCGAUCUUUCGGUUCGUUCAGUCUUCCAACCUCCAAACCUACCGGGAGGUUGUGAACCACGCACUCAUAGUGGAGAGUGGAGCGGCAGAUCUGCAGGAGCGGCGAGAGGCCUUGGACAAGGGCAAAUGCAAGAGGCCCGCUGUAAUAUACCAAAAUAUUCAGUAAAUAAAUAUCGAACUUUAGUCAAAUUGACUAAAGUGCGAGGAUGGUACACUUCGGAAAGUCCGAAGGUGUUGAAAUGAUCAAAAGUGAGUUACGGAAGGUUUUCGAGAGCUAAAGAAUCAAAUUCUGCAAAACUGCAGGUUUUCAGCUCUCGGGGACCGGUCCUUGGUGGGAGAGACCGGUCCUCGAACGAGUGCAGAGUGAGACAGCCGAAAAAUCGGCUAAGUCCUGGAAGGUUAGCUCUCGGGAACCGGUCUCUGUCUGAGAGACCGGUCCCCCAGAGACCGGUCCCACCAGAGAGGGACCGGAUGCAUUGCGCGCGGCAGCUCUGGCUGCGCAGGGUGGACCUUCGGGGACCGGUCCCUGCUCGGGGAGACCGGUCUCUGCCUGCGAAAACUGCCCAGUCCAGGCAGUGCACAGAGAUAAAAGCUGAGGGGUUUAGCUGCAAUUUUGCAACCCAAUAGCUAUGUGUGAGGGCAAAUGAGAUAUUUCUCUCAUUUCCUCACCCUCUCACACUCUCUUCUCUCCCUCUCUCUCUCUAGAAGACAAAGGAGAAGAAGAAGAAAGGAAGAAAAGGAAGAAAAGAAGGAAAAGAAGGAAAAGAAAGUGAAGAAGAAGAUCAAGGAGCAAAGAGGCUUCAUCUUCUUCCUCUCUAGAGCAAGAAAGGAGCAAGCCUAGAGGUAAGCUUUGCCCCUUGUCAUGUUUAAUUCCAAACUAGGGUUUGGAUUAGACUGAAGACGGUUUUUAUGGAACCUUUGGAGUAUUUGAAGCUUUCUUUUUUGCUUCUUUAAAGAUCAAAACCAUGGUUGAGCUCAAGGUGAGCUUCAACCCACCUCUAAUGGUGAAAUCUAAUCUAGGAUUUUGGAAAGCCUAAGAAUGGUUCUAAUGGACUAUUUAGAGUAUAGUGAAGCUACUUUUGCUUCCCAAAGAGAUCAAACCCUAGGUUUUGAUAUACAUUGGGGCUAGGGCACCCAAAUUGGGGCUUUUGCUCAUGAGGGUUUCUAAGUGCAAUUGACCCUCUAGAAAUCUAAUUGGGGGUAUUUCCGACGCGUUGGUGCGCUCGGAUUAACGUUACGAAAAACCAAAGUAAAGUUAUGGGCAAAAUGGCCUAAUAAGGGUUCGUUAUGCCGCAGGUAAAGAACGAAAGGUCUAAAAAUCACAAGAAAAUCAUCGGAGCACCUUUGGAAGCCUACGAGGUGGGUGGUGCUUCUCAAACUCAUUGAACUUCUCUCUAUGCCUAAUGUGUCAUUCAUUUGAGCAUGUGUUAUAUAUUGUUGCAUGCAUAUUAGGGUAAAGUAAUGAUAAGAAUGUGAUGAUAGCAUGAUUGUGAGUACAACUUGCUUAUAAUGAUGGUAGAGAACCAAAUAAAUGUCAAAACCCUAAGGGUAUGCAUUAGAGAAAAAGUGAGCACCCAAAGUGAGCAAAAGAACAGAGUGACACUAUGACAUAGAUCGAGUGGCAUUUGAAAAUGUAAAGUAAAGAGACACUAGAGUUAGUGUGAUGCAAAGAACCAAAGUAAUGUAAAGAAUGAUGAAAAUGACAAUGUGUAAAGUAAAGUAAAGUGGGGCAAUAAGAACAAGUAUUGUAACGAACAAGCAUGCUAGAGUUAGCAAGAGUAAAGAAAUGUAAAGAAAGUGAUUGCAUGAGUUUGCAACAUAAAGUGAUGUAAAGAACACUAGAGCUAGUGUAAAGUCAAGAUUGAACUUAUAAAUCCUUUGAGUUAAGGAUAUGAUCAUACUUGCUAUGAGUUCCGUGCUCGAGGGCGGUCGCUCCCCCUCGGGCGAUGCGCUCCGGAGUUAUGCAUCACGGGUUGGAGUAAACCCGAAGGACGGUCCUAGCUGGUGAGUUCCUGCGAUGAUGGACUUAAUGUGAAGCAAGUCAAUGUGGCGAUACCCCCGGGUUAGCCUUCAGAUUAAAGAACAAGAACAAAGAGCAAAGAACAAAGAACAAAGUACAAAGUAAAGUCAAAGAACGAAUGAGUUUGCAUAAUCUGCAUUUAUUUAAUGUUGAGCAUACUUCUUGCUUAUUGUUCAGGCAUAUUAGCAUCAUGUUAUAGAUUGGUUACUAUACAGCUUAUUCUUUCUAUUAUGCCUGAGUUAGUCCUAGUGGGAAAGUCGGUGAUGUUGAGGCCGAACCCACUGGGAACUUUGUUGUAGUUCUCACCCCACUAUUUCCACAGAGCCGGGACCGAGCGAGCCGGCGAGCGACCGAGGUAAAGGUAUCUCGCCUUAGUUAGAGGCCACCAAAGUUGGGUUUCAUUUUGUAGUAAAGUACCCUAUAUUCAUCUUUUGUACUUGAUGAUGAAUGAUGUAAAGAAAAGAAUGUAAUGUGUAUUUUGAGGUAAUUGUAAUGUAAGAAAGAAAUGAUGAAACGAAAUGUAAGGAAUUCGAAGAAUUACAAGUUGGAUGUAUGUAUAUGAUCUAAAUUGAAUCAUAGUACAAGCGAAUGUUUAGUUUUCCUUUCUUUCACUAAUGGCUAUUGCUUACCCUCGUGUAAGCCGUUUGUGUAUGUUUCCGCUAGUGCUUUUCUCUAUUGAUGAAAAUGUACAUGUGAUGAGCCUUGAGCGGAUAGGGGAAACUCUGUCCGUUCGGUGUCUGUUUGACGUGCUAGGGUCGGGCCAAAUUGGUAUCGGUCCCGGGGCGUGACACCCGCGGCUGAGGGUGCGAGUCAAGCGCACUCAUGGAGGCCGGCGAGACAUCCGAGACAUCGGAGCCAGUCGCGAGGGCGUGGCCAGACUACUCAGCGAGGAGGACCUGAUCGACGCCAGGCUCCGCGCUGCGUGAUAUGUGGUGGUUCCCAUUUUUCACGGCAGUGUUCACGCAGUCGGGGCAAGUGCUACCUGUGUGGCCAGGAGGGCCACUUCCAGUCGGACUGCCCGAGGAGUUAGCACCAGCGCCAUCUUCAGCAUCUGCACCAGCUUUACAGGGCCCCAGUCAGGGACACCUUCUGCGCAUCACCAAGCUGGACGGCCGCCAGUGCAGCGGCAGGCGGAGGGGUCACGACAGGCCCCGAGUGGGCGCAUGUACGCAGCCCAGACUGAGGAGGCGGCGGCAGCCGAGAAUGUGGUCGCAGGUAUCAUUUUACUUUAUGGUAUUCGAGUACGAGCAUUGUUUGAUACCGGUGCAUCGCAUUCAUUCAUAGCCGGCUGUUUGCCGAGUUGCAUGGCAUCCCAUUGACAUCUUUGUUGCAUCCAGGAUGAGUCGUGGUACCCGGUCACUCUUUAGAUAUUCGAGAGUUUUGCCCCAGUUGCCCUGUUCAGGUUGGAGAGUGGAUCAUGCCUACGGACUUGCUAGCUUUGCAUAAACUCGGAGAGUUUGACGUUGUUUUGGGCAUGGAUUGGUUGACCAAGUACUACGCCACUAUUGAUUGCAAGAAUCGAACUGUGACGUUUAGAGAGCCGGGGCAGGCGGAGGUUGUAUACCGAGGAUGCCAGUGUUCGCUGUUUGCAAUGACGAUUAGCUCCUCUCGAGCUAGACAAUUGAUCAGCAGAGGCUGCGUAGCCUAUUUGGCUACUAUUGUGUUGCGGGGCGAUGCAGACGCCCCUAAGAUUGAGGACAUCCCCAUCGUGCGGGAGUUUGGAGAUGUGUUUCCAGCGGAGUUACCGGGCAUGCCGCCUGAUAGGGAGAUUGAGUUUGUGGUAGAUCUCGUUCCCGGGACUACUCCAAUCUCAAAAGCACCGUAUAGGAUGGCACCGGCGAAGUUGAAGGAGCUGAUGGCACAGUUGCAAGACCUUCUGGACAAGGGUUUUGUGCGACCGAGUGUGUCACCUUGGGGAGCACCGGUCCUAUUUGUCAAGAAGAAGGAUGGAUCGCUUCGCUUGUGCGUGGAUUAUCGUGAACUUAAUAAAGUCACGAUUAAGAAUAAGUAUCCAUUACCAAGGAUUGACGAUUUAUUUGAUCAGCUCCAGGGAUCUAGUGUGUAUUCCAAGAUCGACUUGCAGUCGGGAUACCACCAAUUGAAGAUCAAGCCUGAGGAUGUGUCGAAAACGGCUUUUAGAACACGGUAUGGACAUUAUGAGUUUACCGUUAUUUCGUUUGGGCUUACUAAUGCCCCGGCGACUUUUAUGGAUCUAAUGAACCGUGUUUUCAAGCCUUAUCUAGACAGGUUCGUCGUAGUGUUCAUCGAUGACAUUUUGGUCUAUUCCCGAAGUGAUGCGGAUCACGAGGAACACUUGAGACUUGUACUUCAAGUGCUUCGGGAAAAGAAGCUCUACGCCAAAUUGAAGAAGUAUGAGUUUUGGCUUAGAAAGGUGGCGUUUUUGGGCCACAUGAUUUCGGGAUCAGGUAUAGCCGUGGAUCCUAGGAAAAUUGAAGCUAUCAAGGAUUGGCCAAGGCCGACGAGUGUCACCGAGAUUCGGAGUUUUCUUGGCUUGGCCGGCUACUACCGACGGUUUGUGGAGGGAUUUGCAAAGUUAUUCACUCCCCUCACAAGGCUCACGCAUAAAGACACCAAGUUUGUUUGGAAUGAUGCGUGCGAAAAGAGCUUCCAAGAGUUGAAGCAGAGAUUGACGACCGCCCCGAUCCUAACCUUGCGAACUGCUGGAGCAGGGUUUGUGAUUUAUAGUGAUACUUCCUUUAAUAGAUUGGGUUGUGUCUUGAUGCAGGACGGGAAAGUGAUCACGUAUGCAUCUCGCCAGUUGAAGGAUUAUGAAAGAAACUACCCUACUCAUGAUUUGGAAUUGGCGGCCGUGGUCUUUACAUUGAAGCUAUGGCGCUAUUACUUGUACGGCGAGCGAUGCAAAGUAUAUACGGAUCACAAGAGUCUAAAGUAUUUAUUCACUCAGAAGGAGUUGAACUUGAGGCCGCGCAGAUAGUUAGAGCUACUCAAGGAUUAUGACUUGACUAUUCUUUACCACUCGGGUAAGGCUAACGUGGUGGCGGAUGCGCUAAGCAGAAAAUCGACAGAAAACUUAGCGUUGCUUGUGGUUACUCAACCGCCGUUGAUCGAGCAGAUGAAACGGUUGGAGUUGCAGGUGGUGGCUCCUGAUACACCUUUGAGACUGAUGACUUUGAUGGUGCAACCUACUCUUGUGGAAAGGAUUAAAGAAAAGCAAAUCUCCGAUGUGGAGUUGCAAAGGAUUCGAGCCAAGAUAAUUGAUGGUUGCACCGAUGACUUUUCUAUGGACGGUGUUGGAUUGAUGCGCUUCCGUGGUCGGAUCUGUGUACCGGCGGAAUCGGCACUUAAAGAAGAAAUUCUUCAAGAGGCACACCGAGCACCGUAUGCUAUACAUCCGGGAGGCACCAAGAUGUAUAAAGACUUAAAAUUGCUUUAUUGGUGACCCGGAAUGAAAAAGGACGUUGGUGAGUUUGUUGCUAGAUAUUUAACUUGCCAACAGGUGAAAGCUGAGCACCGAGUUCCCGCGGGGAAAUUGCAAAGCUUACCGAUACCAGUAUGGAAAUGGGAGAAGAUCAUCAUGGACUUUGUGAUGGGUUUGCCCCGCUCACAGGCCGGGCAUGAUGCUAUUUGGGUGAUCGUGGAUAGGCUGACGAAAUCGGCACAUUUUGUACCUAUCCAUACUACUUGGACUGGUGAGAGACUCGCACAGGUAUACUUGGAUGAGAUUGUGCGAUUGCACGGGGUACCCACUUCUAUUGUAUCAAAUCGAGAUCCCCGAUUUGUAUCUCACUUUUGGCGGAGCUUACAGGAUGCUUUGGGUACACGCUUAGACUUCAGUAUAGCUUUCCACCCCCAGAGUAACGGGCAGUCAGAGCGUACUAUACAGACUCUCGAGGACAUGCUUCGAGUAUGUGUGAUUGACUUUCAAGGAGGAUGGUCGCAACAUCUACCGAUGGCAGAGUUUGCUUAUAACAACUGUUAUCAAGCAAGCAUCAAAAUGGCACCGUUCGAGGCACUCUAUGGACGGAAGUGUAGAUCGCCACUUCAUUGGAGUGAAGUUGGCGAAAGAUUGGCUUUAGGCCCAGAUGUGCUCCAGGAAGCAGAGGAUAAGGUUUGCAUUGCUCGGGAGCGACUGUUGACAGCCCAAAGUAGGCAGAAGAGUUAUGCUGACAGGCGUCGACGAGACUUGGAGUUUCAGAUUGGUGAUCAUGUCUUCUUGAAAGUCUCGCCGACAAGAGGGAUUAGAAGAUUUGGAAUUCGGGGUAAGCUGAGCCCCGAUAUAUUGGAUCGUAUGAGAUUUUGAAGCGUGCAGGCCCGGUAGCGUAUCGACUUGCGUUACCCCCGAACCUAUCGGGUGUACACAAUGUAUUUCAUGUAUCGGUCCUUCGGAAGUACAUCCAUGAUCCAGCUCAUGUGCUUGACGCCACACCAUUGGAGCUGAGAGAGGAUUUGAGCUUCGAGGAGCGACCAGUGAAGAUCUUGGCUCGUGAAGUGAAGAAACUAUGGAAUCGGGACAUUCCGUAUGUGAAGGUUCUUUGGAGCAACAACGGAGAGCGGGAGGCCAUGUAGGGGCUAGAGAGCACGCUGCAGGAGCGCUAUCCCCAUCUUUUUCAGAUGGAGUCUUGAGGUAUGUAGUUGCUUUGAUUUUCGCGGAUGAAACUCCUUUUUAGGAGGGGUGAAUGUAGCACACUGGACCUGAGCAAAUUGCGAGGUUCGAGUGAUUGGAUGUGUUUCGAGCUUUUCCAUGCUUGGUGGAGGGUCGUAGAAUGCUUUCCGACCUAAGAAGUUCGAAAAUCUGAGUUCUGGACGAGUCCUGAGAGUUUUUACUCUCGGGGACCGGUCCCUAAUAGAAGAGACCGGUCCCCUCAGAGCAGUGUUGCGGCAGCCGGCGAGGCAACCGGUCCCUGGCGGGUGAGACCGGUCCCCGAGCGCGUCCACGCGGGGAGAGACCAGUCCCGUGCGGGGAGAGACCGGUUCCCGAACGUGGGGUUUUCGGGGCAGGCCGAGAGACCGGUCCCUCAGUCCGAAAUCUGCCCAGACCGGGCUGAUGCAAUAUUGGAUUUUUGGGGGGCCUCUUUGGAUUUUGUUACUUUAGAUGGCCUAAAUAGCCAUUCCACCCUCUCCCUUCCUCAUUUCUCUUCUCUUAACCCUCCUCACACCCUUGUUAGAGAGAGAAGAAGAAGGAGAAGAAGAAGGAGAAGUUGGAGAACAAGCUUGAGGGUGUCACGCCCCGGGAAUCAAUACCGAUUUGGGCCGGCCCGAGCACGUCAAACAGACGCCGAACGGACAGAGUUUCCCCUAUCCGCCCAAGGCUCAUCACAUGUACAAAUUCAAACAAGAAAUGCACUAGCGGAAACAUACACAAACGGCUUACACGAGGGUAAGCAAUAGCCAUUAGUGAAAGAAAGGAAAACUAAACAUUUACAAGUACUAUGAUUCACUUUUGAUCAUAUACAUUGCAUCCAUUAACAUUCUUACAUCACAUUUACCUCAAAAUAAGCUUUACAUUUUUGCUCAACAUCACUAGUCAUCAAAUACAAAAGAUGAACAUAGGGUACUUUACUACAGAAUGAAACCCAACCUUGGUGGCCUCUGACUAAGGCGCGAUACCUUUACCUCGGUCGCUCGCCGGCUCGCUCGGUCCCGGCUCUGUGGAAAUAGUGGGGUGAGAACUACAACGAAGUUCCCAGUGGGUUCGGCCUCAACAUCACCGACUUUCCCACUAGGACUAACUCAGGCAUAAUAGAAAGAAUAAGCUGUAUAUAGUAACCAAUCUAUACAUGAUGCUAAUAUGUCUGAACAAAAAGCAAGAAAUAUGCUCAACAUUAAAUAAAUGCAGAUUAUGCAAGUUCUUUCGUUCUUUACACUUUACACUUUACACUUUGUUCUUUACUCUUUGUUCUUUACUCUUUAAUCCCAAGGCUAACUCGGGGGUUUCGCCACAUUAACUUGCUUCACAUUAAGUCCAUCAUUGCCGGAACUCACCCGCUAGGACUGUCCUUCGGGUUUAUUCCAACCCGUGAUGCAUAACUCCGGAGCGCAUCGCCCGAGGGGGAGCGACCGCCCUCGAGCACGGAACUCAUAGCAAGUAUGAUCAUAUCCUUAACUCAAAGGAUUUAUAAGUUCAAUCUUGACUUUACACUAGCUCUAGUGUUCUUUCAUCACUUUUUGUUGCAAACUCAUGCAAACACAUUCUUUACAAUUCUUUACUCUUGCUAACUCUAGCAUUCUUGUUCGUUACAAUUCUUGUUCUUAUUGCCCCACUUUACUUUAAUCUUACUCAUUAUCAUUUUCAUCACUCUUUACAUCACGUUAGUUCUUGUAUCACACUAACUCUAGUGUCUCUUUACUUUACCUUUUCAAAUGCCACUCGAUCUAUGUCACGCCCCAAUCCCUGCCAAUUUGGUCGGGUUCGGGUCACAUCAACAGACGCCGGACGGACAGAGCCUCCCCUGUCCGCCCAAGGCUCUAACAACAUGUAUAAAUAGGCAAUCAACAAGAGAUUUGCAUAUACAAUACAAGGCUUGCACGAGGGCAAGCAGCAACGGAAGCGAAAGCUCUAAGCUAAAUUCACAUCACACAUGAUAUUUGAUUUCAUUUAAACCAAAUUCAAGUAAACAAAGCUAUUACAUUCCAUUCAACCAUCAUAUCCUUUACAUUUAGUCAUCCACCAAAUACAUGAUUGUUUACAACUUUACAUCUCUAAAUCAACAAAAGAAAGUUGAUACAUGUAUAACAAAAAGGGAAUGACUACAAAAGUGUAAAGUUCCGGUGGCCGCUACCUAUGGCGCCAAACCCUUGCCUCGGUCCUCCGCCGCCCCGCUCGUGCUAGGACCUGUAGGGUUAGUGGUGUGAGAACUACAACGAAGUUCCCAGUGGGCUCGGCAUACGACCUCGCCGACUUACCCACUAGGUCCAUCCAGGCAUAAGUAUUUCAAAGGAAGAAAAGUAACCACUACUAAUGCAACUAAUACUAUGCCUGCAAGAAAGAAGUCAGUGGAUAUAGAGUUUCAAUGCAAUAUAGAAAUGCAUGCAUGCUCCAAUCAUAAUCAAAUUUUGGCUUUUACCCAAUCUUACCGGUUAACUCUGUUAACCCCAAUAACUCACAACCCAAAUCCAUUAAUAACGGGGGACUCGAACCUCCCUAGGGACCGUCAACUGGUGGGACUUUACCACGCCCAGUGGUGACCAACUCCGGAGAGCACCGCUCGAGGGGGAGCGACCUCCCUCAAGCCAAGACGAAAUGUGAGCAUCGAUCUAAUCCUCAACUUGAGGACUCAUAGCCACUAGUCACAAUGCCAAUGUCACGAUAGGUCUCUACCUAUGCAUUCUUAUCACUCUCAUGGCUUUACCUUUGACGAUGUCAUAAUUGGUUAAGCUAUAUUUAACAGUUCAUCUCUCAAAGCAAAUCUCGUUUCUAUGUCAAUGUCACCCUUGUUUUCUAUUGUCCAAGUCCAUUCUCACAUUCACACAACUUGAGGGUCCAAUCACACAUGUCCAUGUUGGUUCUAUCAUCCUCUAUGUUCAGUUACGUUAGAAGCAUAAAAAUGUAAUCAAACCAAGUUCCACAUGUAACUACCCUACUAUGCAUGAAUGGGUAUAUAUAAAACAUAUAUGUUCAAGAAUAGAGAAAACAGACAUAGAAGGGAAUCCAACGAUUCCGGCGUGCACCCCCCACCUCUAGUAAUCGUGUGGGUGUAGUAUAGGACGUCUCCCGGAUUUUACGAAAGCCGCUUCCGCGCCCUAUAAUCAAAACGGUGCCAUAUUAGGCCUUUUUGUACAUGAACUAUGUUCUAACAUUUUCAUAAUGUUAAACGAAAUUGUCCCACGCGUUUAGGACACCCCCAAUUAGGUUUCUACGGGGUCAAUUUGUCCCCGAAAAAUCCUAGGGCAAAAACCCCAAAUCCAAGCCCUAAUAUUACCAUUUAGGGUUUUCCCAUGAAUCGAUCCCAACCCUAAGCAAAGAAUAGCUUAGGAUCAUCUAAGAAGCAUCCUAGCAAGGUUUCCAAACCUUUGGUACCAACCCUAGGGCUCCAAACACCACUUCCAAGGAUUCACCAUGAGAGCACCUUGAGCUCUCAUGGGUUCCAUGGUAUUCAUGGCUCAAAAGAGCCCCUAAAGCCUCUAAGGAGCACAAAGCUCCAAAUCCCUAAGCCAAAAUCCAAAGCCUAGAGGAAAACUUACAAAACUUACAUCUAGUCCAAGCUCCACCAAGAAUCUUCUUGUUGGAGAGCUCCUAGAACCUCCAAGGCCUCCAAAUCCUCCUCCUCCUCACUUCUUCUUCUUCUUCUCCAAGCCCUAGAGCAUGAGUUCUAGAGAGAGAAAGAGGGGAAAUGGGUGAGAAGGGUGGAAAUGGCUGUGGGAGAGAGGGGUGAGUCAUAUAUAGUGUUGUAACAAUUGCACUUAAGCCCCUCCACUUGUUUCCUCUUGAACUGCCGAGACUGGGUAUUUUUCGCCUUCGGGGACCGGUCUCCCCGACCAGGGACCGGUUCCCGAACGGGGGUCUUCCAGAGCCAAAUUUUCGAGUUCUUCUGCUGUUGCGCAGCGAGGGACCGGUCUGCCCAUCAGGGACCGGUCUCCCGAGGACCGGUCUCACCACCAGGGACCGGAUGCCUCAGGAUUUCCUGGCAGGCUACGCACACGAGGACCGGUCUCUCCUUCAGGGACCGGUCCCCGAGAGCUCAAAAUCUGGGACUUAGCCAGAUUCCCAAAUUUGCUCUCCGGGUCCCUUCUUGCUCCGUUUAAGAACUCCAAUGCACUUUGGGGCCGCUUUAACCCGUUCAAUUUCGCGUUCCGCUCAUGUUGACGGAACUCGACGCGGUUUACGAGGGAUGUGGUAUGUUACAUUCUCCACCCCUUAAUUUAGUUUCGUCCGCGAAACUAUUAAGGUUGAAAUUUAAAUUUCAUACCUCACUUCGGAUCCUCGAAGAGGUGAGGAUAACGCUCCCUCAUUUCGCUUUCGAGCUCCCACGUUUCUUCCCGGUCAUCAUGUUCGCACCAAUGAAUCUUGACAUAUGGAAUUUCGCGGUUCCGAAGCUUUCGUACCUCCCGGUCGACAAUAUACGCCGGGAACUCUUCAUAAGUCAUAUCCUCUUGAAGUUCCAUCGGUAUAUACGAGAAAAUAUGAUCCGGAUCGUACACGUACUUGUGGAGUUGAGAUACAUGGAACACAUCAUGUACUCCCGCCAGCCUCGGUGGUAAUGCCAACUUGUAGGCCACCGCUCCAAUUCGUUCCAAAAUCUCGAAGGGUCCGAUAUAGCGGGGCUUAAUUUCCCGCAAACACCGAACCGUUUAACCCCUCGCAUCGGCGAUACCUUUAGAAAUACGCGGUCUCCUACCGCGAACUCAAUGUCCUUUCGUCGCUCGUCGGCAUAACUUUUAUGCCGUGAUUGCGCCGUCACCAACCUUUGUCGGGCAAGGCGGACCUUCUCCUCCGCCUCCCACACCACUUCCGGACCAAGAAUUAUUUUCUCGCCCACAUCGCUGCAGUGUAUCGGCGAGCGACACUUCCUUCCAUAAGGAGCCUCGAAUGGCGCCAUCGCAAUACUUUCUUGAUAGCUAUUAUUAUAUGCGAAUUCCGCCAUCGGUAAAUGAUCAUGCCAUCCGCCCUUGUAAUCAAGCACACACGCUCGAAGCAUGUCCUCAAGUAUUUGGAUUGUCCUUUCCGAUUGACCGUCACUUUGAGGAUGAAAUGCUGUACUAAAAUCGAGCCGCGUGCCUAAGGCAUCUUGUAAGCUCUUCCAAAAAUGAGAUGUGAACCUAGGGUCCCGAUCCGAUACGAUUGAUACUGGAACCCCAUGAAGUCUCACCACCUCGUCGAUAUAGACUUGGGCUAACCUGUCUCCCGACCAAGUAGUGUGGAUCGGCAAAAAGUGCGCCGAUUUUGUCAACCGGUCCACAACUACCCAUAUCGCAUCGUGUCCGCCUUGCGACCUAGGCAGACUUGUCACAAAGUCCAUUGCAACAUUUUUCCAUUUCCACACGGGUAUUGGUAGACUCUGCAACUUGCCCGCUGGAAAUCAACGCUCCGCCUUCACUUGUUGGCACGUGAGGCAUUGCGCCACGAACUCCCCUAUAUCUCUUUUCAUGCCCGGCCACCAAUAAUGCAAUUUCAAGUCUUGAUACAUCUUAGUGCCACCCGGGUGUAUGCUAUAGGGAGAUUGGUGCGCUUCUUUCAUAAUCGCUCUCCGAAGGUCGUUGUCCUUGGGCACGCACCAACGAUCCCGAUAUCGUAGUGCGCCAUCGGUUCCAAUGCCAUAAUCAUCGGCACUACCGCUUUCAACUUUGCCCCGCACCUUUUGAAGAAACCCAUCUGACGCUUGUAAUUCUUUAAUUUUCUCCAACAAGGUUGGUUGCACAACUAAGGUGGCGAGCAUUGCCGGCACUCCCGGCACCACGAUUUCUAGUCCCAAUCGUUGCAUCUCCUUCUGCAACGCCGGUUGAGGCGUAAUGUCACGCCCCGAGCUCCGCCUAUUUGGUCGGAUUCGGGCACGCCGACAGACCGCCGAACGGACAGAGCCUCCCCUGUACGUUCUAGGCGUCAACAAUCUAAACAAUGCAACACAAGAGGUUCCAAACAGGAACUGUAGCAAGUAUAUAGAUUGCAUAAGUAUCAAAAACAUAAAUGCAAACUAUGCUAUUACAAGCAUUCACCUCAGAAUUUUUACAUUUACAAUAUUACAUAAGCCUUUAAAUUAUUACAAAACUUAUACAAAUUACUACAAUUUUGUUUCUUUCAAUUUGAACUCUGAACUUGACCUCUUCAGGGUGUUGCUAUCUCAGUCUCAGUGGUGGGGCGCUAUCUACGAAGCUACGCCCUGUCCUCGCGCCGCCACGCCGCUCACGUGCAACCUGUACCCCCAAAACAACACGGGGGUGAGAACUAUAUAAAUAUAGUUCCCAGUGGGUACGGCCACCCAAGAGAAGAGCUCGACCCACCAGGUCCAAAGGAGGCAACAGUAGGUUAGUUCAACAAAUAGAUAGAUAGAUAUUUAACGAUGCAACAAAUAGAACCAUACCUUGCCUCGCUGCUAUGCACUAUGCAAUACCUGUAAAUCAUGAAAGUAGCUUAUUUGAUUCUACUUUAUAUCAUUAGCCAUUCUUUACUUGUAGCCGUUCUAUUAUUUCUUAGCUAGUUUCAUUCAUUAGCUAUUUUCUUUAUUCUUUACUCCUUGUCAAAUUAUGCUCACUGGCGAUUCUUUCCUAAGGUUAUUUUACCUUAGCCAUCUAGCCACUCGACUCGGUCUUGAGUCAAUCAACCGCGGAGUACCGCGUCAAGUCAGGCUCGAGGUGAAGGACGUCUCACAACACCUCAACCUUAAGUCCACGCGACACUAGGUCCAUCACAGGGAGAGGAGAACCGUCGAUCCCCGUGACCCUAAGUCGCUCAAGCUCAACGGGCGAGGAGAACCGUCAAACCCGUUAGCUCCGGGAGAGGAGAACCGUCAAUCCCGUUGAAUCACUACCGGGAGAGGAGAACCGUCGAUCCCGUAGUUUCGAUUCACUUCACUUGUUUCAUGGCAUACCGGGAGAGGAAAACCGUCGAUCCCGUUGAAUCACUACCGGGAGAGGAGAACCGUCAAUCCCGUAGUUAAGAUUCUAUUUCUGCCAUCACCCCAUUCCUAAGGAUUCCGGAAUCCAUUUCACAACUUAAGGGUUUACUCACUGACCCUAUGUUGACGACCUUCUUAGGUCCAUAUUAUUCACUUUCUAGUGGUCCUAUUGCCACUAUAAUUCAUAACUUAGUUUACUUUUACUAAGUGGUUCUUUACAUCAUAACCUAGGUUCACUUACACUAGGUUUUAUAUUCUUCAUCUAGAUCUCAACUCUAGGUUUACAUACUCGACCUAGGUCCAAUGACUCUAGGUUAAUGCCUGACCUAUGUUCAAUAACACUAGGUUCAUUUCAUGCCACUCGAUCUAUACAAUGUCCAACCUAGGUUCAAGAACUUAGGUUUCAUGCCACUCGAUCUAUUCAUUAUCCUAGUUAGUCAUAUCUAGGAUUAUAAUUUGCACAUUUUCAUUUACUUUGUUACCGUCCAAAUUUCUACUUAAUUGGAGUUGUCGAUUCAGACCCAAUUCUUAGGGCUUUCACAUGAAGUUCAUAGUUUACAUAUCAUUGAGGUUUCGAAUCAACUAGGAUUAGCGACGUUCAUAUAGCAUCUAUAUUCACAUUUCCCAUUCAACUUAUAUGCCCUUGGCAUCUAUGUAGACUUUAGCAUAUAGCGACAUUCAUAUAGCGACAUUCAUAUAGUAUGUAGGCUUUAGCAUAUAUAUAUUCACAUUUCAUAUUCACUUUACAUGCUCUUGGCAUUUACAGGUUCAACACUUAUAUAUCAUGUAUUUAGCAUUAGCAUUCAUAUAGCAUUCAUAUAGCCUUCACAUCGCAUUUACAUUCAUAUUCAUACGCAUUUAGCAUCCAUAUUCAUAUCUAUGCAUUCACAUCUAUGCAUCUAGCAUUUAUAUAGCAUUCACAUUCAUAUUCAUAUUCAUAUUCAUAUUCAUUCAUAUUCACAUUGCUCAUCUAACAUUAGCAUAAGCCUACUCAUAUGCAUUUAGCAUUCAUAUGUCGACAAUCAUGUUUAUAUAUGCGUCAAUCGAAAUCAUAAUUUACUUUGGCAUGGAAGUGACCUAAUCACUUCGGUAAGCACAACCCACCUUUCUUUGAUGCCGGAAUGGGAGAAAUUCGCUUCGAGUACUUUUCCAAGAGCCGCGACCCGCGCUCGUGACUAUUGAUGCCGAAAACGCCGUUUUGGCGAUAUCUUCGCGUAGGAGCGACGGAUUGCCGAACCGACUUCGCCAGCGCGUUUCUUUUACCCCCAAUUAGGUUUGUACGCGGUCAAUUUCGCUUUAGGACUUCUAUCCUGCAAAAGUGCAUUAUCGGGGUCAAUUUCUAUAGAAGCUCGUUUCAAUGCAAUUUCACAAUUCACUAGAGUAAUUCAACUCUUUUUAGCCCAAGAAUCUCAAAAAUAAUUAAUGAAAUCUGCCCAAAGACUUCGAUUUCAUUUUUUCUCUCUAUUUCAUUUCCUUUCUUUCAUUUUUUUUCUUCUCUUUCUUUCUUUCUUUCUUUCUUUUCUUUCUUUCUCUACUUUCUUUCUUUCUUUCUUUCCUUUCCUUCUUUCCCCUGCAGCAGCUGCUGCUGAUGCUGUUCCUGCUGCUGCUGACAGCAGCUGUGUGCAAGCUGCUGCUACUGCUACUGCUGUUAAGCUGCUGCUGCUCCUGCAGCUGCUGAAGCUGCUGCUGCUGCUGACAGCUUCUGCUACUGCUGCUGCCUGCUUGCCCUGCUGCUGCUGACUGCUCAGCAGCAGGCUGAGCUGCUGUUGCUACUCAGCUCAGCAGGGCUGAGCUCCAACAGCAUUCAGUAGCUGAUGAUAAGUUCUUCCGUCCGCUAUUGACCGGUACGCGUCGUGUGUAAUUCAUUUGAAGACGUAUUCGUUAUUCUCGACCGAAUGAAAACACGGAGUUAUUUAGACUCGUGUUGGAAGAUACUCCGGAAGAAACUUUACGCAAAACUAAAGAAAUGCGGUUUGGCUUUCGGAGGUUACUUUCUGGCCACGUUGGUCCGGAGAUGCAUCCGUCGGACCCAAUAGAAAGUUGAGGCGAUAAGAAUUGUCGCCUCGACCCAACGAGUUGUAGCGAAAUUCGUAGCUUCCUUGACUUGCGGGCUAUUUAUCGGCCGUUCGUGGUAGGAGGUUCGCCAGGAUAACGGACUCCACGAACCCGCCUUACGCAAAAGGUGUGAGUUUGUUUGGAAGGCCCCUAGUGUGAGCGAGCCGUUUGAAGAGUAAAGUAACAAAGAUUGACAUCUAUGCAGUGACUUCGCAUUUGCGCGCGCCCGGAGAAAAACUAUUGUAGUUACAGUAGCCUCAUACGUCGGCUCUCGGUGACUGUUUUGAUGCAAAACGUGGCCAGAUCAUAGCUUAUGCUCGCCGCCAACUAAGAGAGUUAUUGAAAAUAACUACCCGACACCACGACUUGAGCUAGCGGCGUUAUAUUCGGCUAAAACUGUGGAGGCAUUAUCUUUAUGGGGAACAUAUGUGAUAUUUACACUGAUCAUAAGAUUCUCAAAUAUCUGUUCCCCAGAGAAGCUGAAUUGUCGACAGCGUCGGCGGUGUUAAGUUGCUUAAAGAUUUAUGAGUCACGGAUUUCUUACCACCCCGGGAGAGCCGUAAUGUCGGCGAUCUCUAAGACAGAAGUCGAGGAAAAUUUGACGGCGAGAUUACGUUAACAUAUGGAGAACUGUGAGUGCGAUUGUCAACUUUGACCUAGAGGUCAAAAGUGAGUAUUAGCUAGAUUGGACAUCAUCCCAGUGAUUGUGAUGUGUGCUGAAUGAAUUACUGCGAGAUAAAUAAGUGUUUCGGCGCAAAUGGCGCGCAAAACGAAAUAUAAAGAAUUUCGGCAUUUUCACGCUAACUUUUGAUUUAAAAGAAUUAAAGUAAGGGCGAUAAGGAAUAAAUUGUGAAUCUCCAAUCAAUUGUAGAGUUUUGUGUAAAGCAUGGGUGUUUUCAAAGGGUUUGAAGAGUCUCGUGCGAAGUUGGUAGUUGCAAAAAAAGGCAUGAAAUGGAAUUGGAGCCGAAUUUUAUGCUAAUUGCGGCUCAACAUAAUGUCAAAUGAAAAGAAUUGCUUCAAAUUAAAUUGGAUUAGUCUAUGAAGUUCCGCUUGGUAUAUUUUUGGAAGUGUUUGGGUAAAUCGUGAGCGAAAACGGAAAAAUUAGAAUUUGUCUGUUAAGACGGGGACUGAGAAAAUAUGCAGAAAAGCAACGUGUACAGAAAAAUUAUGAAAAUUGGGCAGAUCGAUGUCGAGACAUUUUAUGAGGCUAUAUUUGAAGUUCGAUUUUUCAUGGACACCUGACUAGAGAGAUAGAAAUAGCAUUUGAAAGUUUAUCGAUGAAGAUACAGUUCGGACAGUUCGCAGUGACCAAAUGAGGUCGAAACUGAAAUAUAAAAAUUCAGUGGACUUGUUAAGUAAAGACUACAUUCAUGUCAAAUUUGGCUCAAUCAGGACUCUUCGGAAGAGCUUACGAAGAUGGGUAUUGAUCCAUGUCGCUAAACGGACUUAAGUACGGAGGCGCUUAUGUCAUUACAUAUGUUAGUGCGAAUUCACUAACUUGCUGCAGAGCCUCUCCAUACUUAUCUUUCCCCCUCUCGGUGCCAUUCGUAUGAGGAGAGAGAAGCGAGUAAAAGAAAAGAGAAAGAGAGAAGAAGAAACAGGAAGAAGAAGAAGAAAAAAAUGGAAAGAGAAAAGAAAGGUAAGAAUUCUUUUUUAGUUCUCUCUCUCUCUGUUCUGUUUUGUUUUCCCCCCCCUCACUUCUUUUCCUGAUGCGGAAGCAGCCAGCAGCAGCCAGUUAAAAAAAACUAGUAAUGUUACGUGCUGGCAAGCUAGAGCUUCAACAGCAGCGCAUUAGUAGAUUAGCUGAGCAAUCAGCUCCAGCAGCAGCCUAGGAGAGCAGCAGCAGCUGCAAUAACAGCAGCGCAGCAUCAGCAGNNNNNNNNNNNNNNNNNNNNNNNNNNNNNNNNNNNNNNNNNNNNNNNNNNNNNNNNNNNNNNNNNNNNNNNNNNNNNNNNNNNNNNNNNNNNNNNNNNNNUGCGACCGAAUCCUAGGGAAUAUACUUCUUAUUCCCGAUCAACUGGACAUUGCCUAGAGCCAAUAUCAUUGGUGGCAUGACCCAUCGCAUAGUGCCUAUUCACAAUCGAAUUUGCUCUACUACGAGCAUGGCACCCUUUGGCCUUAUUCGCAAUGGUAAUCUCCAGGAGGCAUAUUCUCAGAUUCGCGUGCAAUCCAAUAUCAAGUGUUCUCCAAGAGACCACAGUACUUUCUCUAUUUAAUCGCGCACGGCCAACACCAAGUUCGUAUCGGUCGCAACGAACUCAACGAACACUCAUUCGUGAAUCCAAGCCACUCCUCGCAGAAUUACCGGCCAAACCGAUUACCUCGGUUUCACAGGUGGGACCAAGUCACCAUUUCUAGCAUAGGCGCUAUAGCCUAAACCGUCUCUUCAUACACCGCUCAGGAUCUCGUCGCCGCAAGGUGAUCCAAUUCAAUCACUUUAGCUGGGCUGUAAGCAUUUAUUGAUCGCACUUUGGCGACACUUCGUCAACACACUCCGAUAGGAGCAACCUUAUGACUUCCAAACUCGCUCACGUCCUCGGGGUAUUGGUGUCUAUUGCACACCUCUCGCCUGUCGUCUUACUGAUUCGUAUCCACACGUGGCAUUUUCCUCGUUCUCCGGGUCUAUGCUCGACGACUACCGUUCCUUGACCAAAACUCUUGCCUACCGUAGGUGCUGUGCCGCUUGCCACUCGCAUGGUACUGCGCCUUACCCAAUGCGGGGCUCCAGGCUGUCUAUAGUUCACAAUGGUUUCAGGCACGGCGUCGUCCCACAGCACUACUCGCUCAUGUCGUCAUCGCUACACGAACAUGUUCUACUAGUCGACGUGACUCACUAUCGUCUUUCUCCUAAACCUAGUGCCGGACCCAUCAGCCCAACGGAUGUGACCGAUGGCCCGCUUCGCAUCUUGUAGCCAAUGCCUACAGUCGGCUACUGCCAUCUGACGUCCCUUCCGGCUGAUAAAAUCGCACUCCCACGUAGUAUUUACACACGUGGUCGCGAGCGCUCUACUGCUCUUACAGCGUUCUACACGAAAUCUGGCAUUAGGCAAGUCUUGCUGUGCACACCCGCUCCCUCGAAGCGCCUCUUUCACGUCCACACCGUCACCUGACCCUCGUCGCCCUUAAGCGUCCUAUACGUAGUGACCGACAAUCUCUCGCUGCGUUCAAGACUAUGGACAUCUAAUCGACCGUCUUCCUCUGCUCAACAAUGACCCUCUACCUUCAUCGUCAAUCGGCUACGCCGGGCGAACAUAUCGAAAUCUUCGGCCAUUACUCGCGCGGGUUGCACUACACAGUACUGCAUGGCUCAAACUUUUCUUCGAUCGCAAUUUACUGUAUAUGUUGCCUUGAGAAGUCGCUUCACCAUUUCUAUUCUUUACACACGAGUCUCAUUUCAUCGUACCAUGGCCACUACACUUUAGCAACUUUAGUGACGUCUAAGCUUUCUAUCUCGCCUCCGAGAGACGCUUACUUACUCUCUCGACACAAGCAUGCGCGGCUACCACACCUCCUAGCCGCGUCCACUGGUCCGCUCCUAACUAAUAUGGAUAAGAUAGUAGAACUGACCUUCGAUGGAAACUGACCUCGCAUAUGCACCAAGUUUAACAUUCAUGUCAGAAACACACAUUUGGCAACGUAAUCCAUUACUUGCCAUCCUGCGAUCUUCGGCUGCGUCCAUUGGAGCGAGCCAUGGCUCUUCGAUCUGAGCGGGCGUUAGCAGCACCUCGGCCGGUCACUCGGGAGUCGACUGGGCACCGGGCUGCGAGGUGCCAUCGCGUGAUCUAGCUAAAGCCAACAGUAGUGUGCCGGGCUCUCCAUAAUGGCCCGACAAUUCGCCCAACGAGCGCAACAGUACGGCAACAGGCGGGAGGUCCUUCUUGGACAGUGGCGGGCGUAAUGUUGCCCCGAGCUACACCGUGUUGAAGCAUUUGCCUCCUUUUUGUCUUGCAAUGCGUUCGGUCCACUGGUCAUGUUUACCUCCGAAAAUGACGCACUUUCGAGUUCCACACUCUGGGACCGUGUGCGGAAUACUUCGGGAGGCUUCUUUAGACCCUAUGACUUCGACCUCUCGAGAAACCAUCAGAAUCUCGUGCUUCUUACGGCGAGUCCUCUUGGGACGCCUUCGUUCUCGCGGAUCGUGGGCUUACUAUGUUGCGCCGUCCCGCACGUCGACAUCGGCACUUCGCAAAUGGUAGGUGAGCUUCAGAAUGUAAAGCGCUCUAUUAUAUAUCACCGGUCGGAGCGCAUCAUACGAACCAGUUGGCCGUCUCUAUCGUCUCGCACCCACGUCGGGGACGCAGUCGUCAAUAAUACGUGCAGAACUCGCUGCUCGUACUCUAUGACGAGGGUUCCUGGGCUCUAACUUUCGGCGAAAUUUAUCCUUGAGUCUUUUCUCACCUAUCGGGAAAUAGUUUGAAUAUAUAUAAGACUUCCGAAACCCUUUCCAAUCAACGGCGGAAGUCGGACGAGAGACCGGAUCCGUUGAUCUGCUUCACCACACCUUCGCCGCCGCCCUCCAAGCCAAUGAGUUGGCGAGGGGACUUAUCUUCUCUAAUAUAUAUGAUCUUCGAAAAAGCGUCUCCAUCGAGUCCACCCACGACUUCGACCAUCAAGGCUCAACCUUCUCCCCCGUUGAACAUCGGUGGGACUGAAACUUCCGAAAUUUCAUAGAUGUCGACCGAAAGGCGCGUCUCCCGCUUCCGUAGUCUCUCUCGCGGUUUGAAGUCCCGACCGGUAGCCGCCAUCGUAUGCGAGUAUUGCGCCGAACCGGCCCACAGCUGCCGUAUUGGCACACCCUUUGUCCGCACUGGGCCGCACGAAGGCGCGGAGUCCCGGCUCAACAUUUCGCCUUGAGCCGACGCCAGCUGCGUACCAACGUUGUAGACCUUGCAAUCUGGUCCUCUUGCGCUGUGCAUCCGCGGCCGACCAUCGAGAGCGAUAUAGCGCUCGCAAUUCCGCACUUCUUUCAGAUCCGACUGCCUUCGGGCUCAGGAGGUGGCGGUGCAGGAGUGGAUCUAAGUCACGGUGCGUCUCCUUUGGUUGCCAUAGCACCUGAAACGCAACAACUUCCGGUUAAUCACCUUACCCGUUAAUCUGUGUCGCAAUACAAAGGACAACGGACUCAACUCCGCCCAUGCGGCUAGAUACAUAUCGUAUUAGUCCUAACAUUUAGCGUCGUGUUGUCGGCCCCAACACAAAAUCCUCGCGAGCUCGAACUAACACCGCUCAGGAUCUUAUCUUCUAUCACACUUAGAGAUCUAUACUCGAUCCGACCCAAUCGGAUUCUUCGCUCACGAUUCAGGUUUACGUUUUCCUCUCAGUACCUAUUACCACCUAGGGCUUCACGUCCUAGGUCUCUGUUAGGUCGCAUCCUAGGACUCUCUCUUUAACUUGUCUUUUAAUCGCUGCUGGAUACCAUAACUGUCACGCCGCCGUCCCGAAUUCCACUACCACAUUUAGGCAGCGGUUCGGCAAUCAGACGGGGACCGCCGAACACGGACAGUACCUCUCCUGUCCGCCAAGGCAAGCAACCAGAUCAUGUACAAUGUAAGCACCCAGAAUUUGCUCUAAAUAACAUACAUGAUCAAAUCCGAUUCACACAAGCUGCAAUACAUCUAGAGCAAGAACCACAAGUGCGAUAUUUACAAGUGUAUAAGAGAGAUAGUCUACUAUCAAAAUCAGUUACAUUUACAUUAUUUGAAUUAUAUUAUAUUUCUCUUCCAAAAUGUAAGUAGACAUGUUUCUUCGAAAUACAUAGUUAGCUCUUGAUAUCUAUCCCAAAUUCAAUAGUACACGAGGGGUAACUUAAUGGCAUAAGCAAAGUACUAACUAGCGCUCACUAAUAGGGCGCGUAUGCCUUUGCGCGGUCCUCGACUCGGUCGCUCUAUGUGUACUCUUGUACCCCAACCACACGGGGUUGAGAACUAUAUAAUAUUUAGUUCCCAGUAGGUUCGAUUCCGCGACGGCGGUUUUCCCACUAGGUCUAAGUGGCACAGCAUAGACGAGAUGAUAUGAUUAGAUAAAAGUAAACUGCGACUACCUCUAUUCAUGCCAUCAACGUGAUAAUUGCAUGCAACAACUACUAUCAUGCGAGAAUCAUGUCAAUGAGUAUAGAAACGUACAUGUAGUAAUGCAAUACUACAACAUUACACCUAUGUCUACUCGAGGUAUGCAUGAACAUAGCAAAUAAUAUUCUAAUAUCAUGAUCUAUCUUCAACAAUAAUGAAAUGGCUAUACAGUAGUGAUGUAUCUACAACAUGCCUACUAAUGUCUCACAUGUUCAAUCUCAAGGUAAUGACAUGCAAAUUCUGCUAUGCCAUUCAUAUUUUCUUACAAUCUGCUUGGAAAUGAGCUACUAAUAGUGUGAUCUGCACAUGCCUACUAGUGCCUCAAUAAUCCAAAUGAAACGAGCUACCAGUGCGUCGUGCAACUAUGCCUCGGUAGUAUCAAUUCAUGGCCACCGAAGGUUGCCACGGCGCCGGGUCACCGACUCACUCCUAAUCUCAUAUCAGGUGAGGAGAAACUGCAUCGCAACCGAGACCGUCUGCUGGGACAACUACGUUGACCCCUAGCUGGAAGUACUCGGAGACUCGUGCCUUCGGGUGAGCGGACCACCGAUCAAGCAAAAACAGCACUAGUGAGUAUGACUCAAGUCCUCACAAGAGAUAACCCUAUCUACAAGGGUCAAGCUGCCUCUGCUGCCACAUGUACAAUUGCAUCUUAGAUGCCAGGGAUCUCUACUUAUCCCUAAGUACUAUUCGGUUUACUAGCACUAGACUCAAUGCAUUCGUUUAGUGCAUCUGUUAGUAAUGUUCAAUUAUUCUCUACACUGGUAUUUGUUCAUGUCAUAGUGUCUCUUCUACAUAGUUCAAUGCACUCUACUAGGCUAUGUCUAAAUUAUCACUUUUGCCACUAUGGUUCUUUUGUUUCAAGACCAAUUCCUCCAGUGCUCCCUAGUCAAGUGUUAGCGUCCUACCGCUACAUACUAAGUAAGAAUGUCAAGCGAAUGGAAAUAUUACUUUACUAAUCCUAUAAUGCUCAUCAAUAUAUGCAUGAAUAAAAUAUAACUUAGCAUAAAGGAAACCCGGAUGUUUCGGGAUGACACCCCCCACCAUUUGUACGCUAUCACCAGCAGGGCUAGGUUGCUCAUUGCACGUUCCCUCAGUCGCCGCUUUAAUUUCGGUCGGCACCUGCUGCGGACGACAUGCACGAACCGUGACGCUUCACACAGCGUUUAGGCACCUCAAACAAAGUUUUCCUACAAACAAGUAAGAAAAGAUUUGAAGAAUGUCUCCUCCAAGGCACCUUUUUCGUUCUCCAAAUGCUACCUCCAAUUCCAGGCUCUUUUGCCGUGCGAAAAUUGUCUUAGAGAGAGAGUAGCUGGGGCGGAGAUAUUUCUCUAUUGGUGUGCAAAGUGUGAGAGAGAAAAGAAAGAAAAUGCUCAAGGUCCCCUAUAUAUAUAUAUAGCGAAACUUCGUGCUCAAGUUUCAUAGGUGAACAUCUGAAAGCUCUCCAAGUGUCAUCAGUAUUAACUCCAAUUUUCAUAGGAAACUUGGCCUCAAGUUCAUUCUAGGAGAACUUGUUCAAGUUAUCCAAGAAUACUAUUCACAUUCAGUUUAGCAGCACGGUACAGAUAUUUUUCGUCUGCCCUGUCUCUCACAGAAAAUUCUAAAUCUUCUGUUUUUGCUUCCAUUUCAACACGGGUCACUCUAGACUUAUAAUUUAUGUCUAUAAGUCCAAUAAAAAUAGUAUCCCACACUAUUUUUAUUUAUUUCCACUUUUACAUUUAAAAUCCGGUACCUUACACUCACCAACUCAAUUUACAGCUGGAGUACCGAUACCAGCCCGAUGUUGUACCGGUACUCAGUAUCAAUUAUCGCAACCCGAGAGCAGCAGUUCGAAAAAAUACACUGGGGUACCGGUACUCCCCUGCAUGGUACCGGUACUCAAUACUGAAACCUACACUUUGCAGACUUCAAUAUCAAACUCUGCUCCGCAUCGCAUUGAAUCCGUUUUGCGUCUAUUUCGCGCCAAAACGACUCGGACUUGUCCAGACACUCUCCAGAUGUGUCGACAAGCCUCAGAUGCUGAAAUCUCACGGGCAACCAAACGCCUGGGAUACUACAAUAUAAUAAUAGUUAUUAAAUUUUAUAAAAUCACUAAUAAUUUUUUUUUAAAAAAAAUCCUCUUAAUUUAAAAUAAUUUGAAGUGGAGAAUUUCAAUUUUAAAAAUAAAAGUUAAGAGGUUUAUUCAGAAUGACCUAUAGUUGAAGGGUCUUCUUAUAUAUAUAUUUUUUAACAUAAAACCAUGCUAGUAAGGAUAAUGCUACUUGUGUAAUAUCAAAUUUUUGGUAGCAUUUGGUUCGGAAAUAAGGGGGCAAUAAGUCCUUGUUUUUCCUUUUGUUUCCAAAUAAAAAUUUUUGUACUCGAGAACAGUAGUUUUCGUGUUCCUGAAAUAAGCUUGUAUAAUUCGGUAUAAAUCUAAAACUAAUAUUCCACCAUUUUUUUUGGAACAAACUUAUUUCCUAGUGGGAACAAACUUAAUUAAACUCUAAAUUUAAUUUUGAUUAUGAUAUUAAAUUAUUAAUUAAUUUAAUUAAUAUAUUUAAAUCAUUAUCCAUUACUUAAAUAAUAAAGUAAUUAAUUAAUUUAUUGUUUAUAAUUAAUUAGAUAAUUAAUUAUUAAUAAUUUAAUAUGUUUAUCCAUAAACUAAUAUUUACAUUAAUCAAGCAUUAAUAUUUUUAUUAAUUUAAUUAAUUUUUUUACUAGUUAUCUAAUUAAAAUAAUUUACUAACUAAUUAAAAAGUUAAAUUAUUUUUAUAUUUAAUUAAUUAAUUAAUAUAUUUUUAUUAUCUUAUAUAAUAUGCAUUGCCAAUAAAUUUAUUAAAUUAUUUUUAAUUAAUAUUUGGAUGUUAAUUAAUUAGAUAUAAUAUUUUUAAUUUAGAAUUAUAACUAUUAUUCCUCUUGUUCCAAUCUAACUAUGCAAAUACUAUUUAUCUUAUUCUCAGGAAUUACCUAAUUUUUAUCCAAACGCAAAAUUAGUCUAGUUCUUAUUUAUAUCCGAACUUGUAUCACUACAACAGAAUUAGGUUAUAGGGACACAUAUUUGGGACACUUUUGAAUAAGUGUCCCAUUUAUCCUAAAACUUAAAAAAACAUCUACUAAUGCAUAUAUAUAAAGCCCAAUCCAACCAAAAAUAAAAGAUUACUCUACUCAACACACCACACCCAGUCCAUUUAGCCCGAUUACAAACAAAAAAAAAAAAAAGAGAAAAAUCAAUUACCAUCUUUUCUUCUCUCUUCACUCAAUCUACUGAAAUUCUAGACGAAGAGCCUUUCAUGUCGUCCUCCUCCGCCACCGCAGCCAACGAGAUAGAGUUUCGGCGGUUGCUAAAUACUUAAAUAAGUGUUGGUUAAUUAGCAGCACUCUUUUAGGUUAUAGCGACACUCUUUAAUUGUCACUAUAUACCUAGCAACCCCACAUAUAGCAACACUUUUUAAAAGUGUCGGUAAUUUUAGCUAGCAGCACUUUUUUGACAUGUACCUAUAUUUAAAAGUCUCGCUAUAGACCGUUUUUGUUGUAGUGUAUUUAUUUCUAUAAUAAAUAGUUCUUAGUUGUACCAAAUCAAACACAGCGUUUAUUUUUAGGGUAAUUGCUUAUAUACCCUUGAAAUUUUUCGACUUUCUAAUUUAUCCCUCUUAGAAGGCUAAUAUUGAAAAUAUCUAUUUUUAUAUUUCAACCUAUUUCAAAUGUAUCCUAAUUAAAGUUAAAUUCUGUUAAUAAACGGUUAGUAAUAUGAAAUUACUAUUUUAUUCUUUCAAAUAUAUCUUUCUACUAUCACCAACUUUUCUUAUUUGCUCUUAAGUUAGGGGCACAAAAAAUAUUUUAAUUUUUUUAAUUAUGAUAGAUAUUUAACUCACGUUUUUUAACCUAAGUUAACUAAACAGGCGGUAUCUAUAUAAAUAUUUUGAAAUAAGAAAAAAAAUAUAUUAAAAUAUAUUUAAAAAAUAAUAAAAAUAAAUAAAAUAUUUUUAAAAAUUUUGAAAAAUAUAUAAGCAAUUAUCUCUUAUUUUUGUGGUGUAGG